UAUAAUAGAAUCACGACUUUUGGUGUGACAGACGAAACUGAUUUGCUGGCUUCCUAGAUUUCUUUCCCUUCCUCUGUUUAUCAUUUUUAAUAAAAUUUGAUUUAAAUAGUCGAUCUAAAAUUUCUGGAGACGUGUUUAGAUGCUGAAGAUGUAAUCAGUAAAAAAUCAGUUAUGUUGAAGCCGAAGAAAAACCUGAUACGUUUGGGGGCAUAGAAGCAUUAGGGUCUAAGAAAUGAUGAUCAAACUUCCGGCUUGUGGUUUGAGAAUGUGUAAACAACCACGAAAGAUAACAAGUGUGGAGAGGGACAAUGUCACUGAGACCACACUCAAGAGAUGGUGGCAGCUUGAGAGAGAUUGUUGAAAGGGGAAAUGGGGAGAGGAAGUGGUAAUAUCCCUAACACGGGGCUUGGAGGGUCCCCCAACCUCCCAAGUUCGUUCCUCCCCUGCCCUAACCCUAAACCCCCUUUAUAUAUAGCCGACGGUCUGGUCUGUUAAAGUGGGCCGGGCCUUGGCCUUUCUUCAAGAGUACAUUAGGCCCAGUGGCCUAACAGAAUGAUGGUACUGGAGUGCAUUAGGGAUAAGGCCCCUCCCAUUGAUACAAUGUUUCUUUUUCUUUUUUUAAUUGUUUGGAGGGCAUAUUCACUUUACAAUGACAAAGCAGAAAAGAGGAAGCAAUUGAUUAUUUAUUGAGUUAUUUUAGGUUCUUCUCUGCUGAUCCUUUUAUAUCUUCAUCUUGAUUAUUGUAAGCUUAACAACAGUGCUAAUACCUGGUUCGUUAGAAGGAAAAGGGUGACGCUAAAAUCUCACAGAUUUUCUUCUGAUCAGUUAUCUAUAUAGAUAUAACUUCCUGCUGGUCAUAAGUGGUUCCAUUGGAAAAUGGCUCCAACAUUCAUGCUACAGUCAUUAAAAUAAGUAAUGUUAGAGUUACCCAUUUUUAUUCAUCUUUUUCUUUGUUAGGUUAUAAUUUAGGUAUACAUUUGUCAGUAUUUUCCCUAGAGAUAAAAGAUGACUAUGAACCGAGCUUAUUGCUAUAAAUUUCCACAUUGAAACAUCCAUUUUACCUGUGUUUCAUUGGAAGGAGGAUUAUGAUGAUCAUGUACUAUUUUGUUGUCAGGUUUCCUACUAUAUUUCACAUCCACUCUCUUAGCUACAUGCAAUGGAUGGCUAUGUUGGUCUCAUGGAUGUGGUUUUAUUCUUAUGGGUAUGUACCUGGAGUUCUGUGUUCCUCUUCUAUUUCAGUAAUGUUUGCCAAAAAUUUAAUGUCAAAGGCAUCCUUACCAUAAGUUUUUAUCUUGCAGCUUGUCCACAAAUUUUGUUUCUAGCAUCCUUCCUUCUGCUACUCUCAUUCUGGUAAUAAUUCAUAUGCCACCCAGUAUGAUAAAUGUUCCAACAUAAAGUUUAUAAUAUUUUGCAUUCAUUUCUCAUGUAUUUAUAUCAGCUUGUAACAUGAUUUCUUCGGCAAUUGCCUUUACUUUCAUGUAAAUUUAGUUUGCCUACUAUUUUGCCUGUAAAUGUCUGUCAGAUGAAAUGGAAUAAGACAGAAUCUUGGUUGACGUUGAUGGAACUGUGUUUUUUAAAUAAAGAAUCGUGAUUCUGAUGGAAGCGAAGAGAGUUUUCCAUUUCUAUAGUUAGUAGCCGUAAUGCUUUUAUCUGAAAGAAAUUAGAAUAUUCACUUGUUUAAAAGGUGCAGGAACAUAAAUUAAUAUGGUACUGAGCCAGAGAAAUAAUCCUGUAUAGCAGUCCAGUGUGAAAGUAAAUGGUGACAAUAUAAUGACUAUCCCCUUGUCUUUUGUCUUUUUGUGUGAUGCCCUUCAGUUGGGUGACUUUAUCUGAUGGAAUUUUGAACACAUUUAUAAUGUAUCUGAUAUGGAACGUACUUUUCUUUAUGCUUUAUUCUAUCUGUAGCAUAAUUUGAUUAUAUGACAUAACCCUCCUUGAUUAACACUUAUAUUCCUUGAAAAAACUGGAGUCUUGUUUCAGGACAGGGAAGAGAUUUGCUGUAAUCAGUCUGGUAUUGCCUUUUUUCUUGGAAACCUAUUUGAAAUCCUAGUGGUUUAGGAUCUGAAUUAUACUGUUUUCAGUGUAGCAUCUUCAUAUUUGCUGAUAGGUAUAUAAGUAGGGUUGCCUAUCAUUCAUAAUUUAGGUAAGUAGAAUGAUGAUAGGGUCCUAGGACAGUGGCUUCAAACUGAGAGGAAUCAAGAAAGAUAACUCAGGAAAUGGAAGGGAAAAUUAGAACUGAAAUAGAGAAGAAAGGAGGUAGAGGAGAGCUUCCAAGUCAGUGUCGGGGGUGAGUUCGAGGGCCGCUUCAAGCUCUCCCACUGACUUCUUGUAAGUCCCCCAACAGUAGGGAGCCCUCAGGGUCCUACCCAUCCACUUAAUCGGCUCUUUGUCCCAUUGGCCCUCCUGUAUUUUACUGGCGUAAGUCGCCUGGAUAAUGGGCCUGGUAUGUUAGUUGCUUUGAGAUCAAGCCUUCUGCACGUCUCUGAAGAUGCAUAUGUUAGGAUAGAAUAUACUGUAACUGUUUGGUUGAGGUUCUUACUAGAUCCUGAUAGUGUGUAUGUAUAGGAAAUGAGGAAACUUUUUUUGAUUGCAAGAUGGGUUUACCUUUUGGGAAUUGGAAGGAUAGUGCGUUCCAGGACAUAUUGUUUAGUUUCUUAUUUUGGUGCGAGUAGCUUAGGGCCUUUUUGAGAGAAAUCGGUCCAAAUUAAUUAUUCCAGUUUCUUAGAUUUAAGCAUUACAUGCAACAAUGCAGAGGAGCUUUGAUAUGCAGUUUAAUAAAUUGCUUGCUUCCCCUUUUCAUUUUUCUAGCAAUUGUUUGUAGGGUGGACCUCUGUCAUCAGGCUAGUGAUGAAGAUGAUGAAGAAUAUGAUAGCUACACCGAAGCUCUGUUGGAAAAGGCAGAAAACGAAGCAGGUUCUUCACAUGUGGAUACUCGACGCAGAUUUUGUUCAUUCUGUUCAAGUCAUAUUGGAAACCGUCAAAAGUUUGUAAUCCUGGUAUGCUACAAAAAUGUUUAUUUGUUAUAUUUCCACGUUAUUUUUGCUUAAGUUUCUUGAAAUUUGUGUUGACCAUCUUGAUUGGAGCAUAAAAUGGUGUUCUACUUAACGUUAGUUGUACUGUUGUUGUAGGUGAUUGUGCUGACAUUUCUUUUCAUGAUUGCAUUCGCAAUGCUUAUCUGGGUUGGGAAAGGCAAAAACCCCAUUGACUCCUCACUUAUGGCUAAGGUAAGAAGUUAUUUUCCCACAUGUGGCUUACACUUUUUUCUAUUGCAAAUUGAAAGAUGAGGAAAGACAGAAUGGUAUCUUUUUAUGAACUUUUGAGUUUCGUGUGCCUAAUAAUUUUGUCAGUUUUCUAUGAUCCAAAUGUGUUAUAUUUCGUAACAUAUUUCUUGUGAACAUAUACGGUUUUAUAUCUCCUAAGAGGCAAUCAAUAUGGAACUCAUGUUCUGGCUUUACUGGAAGCUUUUGAUACAGAUCGUAAUGAAAAGGUCAUAUGUUUCUCUCGGUUAAUUUGUGAAAUAGGUGAUGACCUUUCUUCCCAUCUGAAUUGUUCCCCCACGUACCUUUCUUCCCAUCUGAAUAUGCCCAUUUUUGAUAUUUUACAUUUUAUAAAUUUUAAUUCGCAUACACUUUCUUCUUAAAUAUACAGCAUCUUUCUUGUUUCUGUUUCUGUAAUAAAUUUUUGUCUAAAUGUUUUAUAAUGCCAUCAUAGCUGCUAUGUGAAUACAAGUAUCUAAUAAUGAAUGUCACAUGCACCUUUAUGUUACGCCAGUUUUUCUAGAUGUGUCUGGCAUCAGCCAGUAUUCGUAUAAAAGCUUUUCUUGUAGAUGUUUCUGUUCAAAUGGUUUUUAACUAUCUUUUAAUUACAUCGAGCUCAUACUGUCCAUUAAAUCAGAUUUCUUACUGGUUAUAUUACUGACCUUGAGUGUACUAAAUUCCUUAGUUGAUCAAGAGCUCUUUAAUCCGUACAAAAAUUUGUUUUUUCAGUCGAAACCAGGUAUAGGUGUUAAAUGUUGUGUUAUGAGUUUCUUAACGUUUGUCAUUUUUAUUUGCUUUGACAUUUCAGUUUUAUCUAUUGGAUGUAUAAUUCCUGAUUUUGUUUGCUUUGUAACUUAUCUUAUGCAGGUCUAUCUAGAUAUCUUUUCCGUAGCAAUUUUUACUCUAGGCGGGGCUUUGGCUUGUUAUGGUAAGGAAAUAUAUUCUCAAUGGUGUAAAAAUCACAUAAAUAGUAAUUCAGCUAUUCUAUGUAGUCCCAUAACUUUGUAUACGAUGAAAGUUCGUUUAUUUUCCAAGUACAUCAAUAUCCUUCAAUAACUGAAACUUUUCGAAGAAAAAAAAUGCCCUAGCCACAAUAUCUCGUCUAUACAUCUGUUAUCAUGCGUCAGUAUUGCAAUACUCCUGAAUUGUCUGAAAUUGUCUAAAGCAUGACGUGUCCUAGCCUGGAAUCGUCUGAGCUUGGCUACGUUUAGGUGACAGUUGUAGACCGCCAAAACUAAUAUCCAGUUGACAGUAGGAUAUGCCUUGCUUGAGAGGGCUUCUUGGAGGUUUCUUCUGAAGGUAGAAAAUCCAUCAGUAAAACAAAAUUCACAGCUACAUCAAGGAUUUAGGUCAAUGGUCAAGGAGAACAUGCAACCCUUAAAUCCAUCGUGUAAAAUUGAUAAAUUCAUAGAUUCUUCUAACCCAGAACCCUGGUCUUAGUGCAAUACCUCUGAUCAUUUGGUUAAAUUCGAUCCCCAUCAAAAUCAGUGAGAUAAGUACUUUUUAACUGUAUUAGAAGGAUUUUGUUGCACACGUUUUGGAUCAGAGUAUACCUGCAAUAAAAGACAUAAUCAGAUUCUUAAUUUUUAAGCAAAGAGUUUGCUCUCCUAAUUUGAGAAAGAUAUUUAAAAUAUGAAAUUUCUUAUAUUUUUUGUAUUAAGUUUAAGAUUAUAACUCCAAUAGGCUUGGGUUAUUUUGAAAGAGUGACCUUGCUUAAUGAGAACUCUUCUUUAGAGCUCUGAUACCAUUCACCUAGGCUGAUUUCCCCACCAUGGAUGACUCUUCUACUAGGGUGUAUGUUCUUAAGCAACAUAAAUUUAGAAACACAAACAGGGCGAUAUUUUGGUCUAUGAAGCCCCAAUGCAACGAUUGAUUACCUUAGCUUGUGAUGUUUUUAAGUUUCCAAAGCAACAGCUUGUUCCCAGGAUAGACUACAUUUCUCUCUGUAAAGAGGCUCCCUGAAAACGUUUGAACGAAUCUGCUAUUCAUUUAUCUCAAUUUAUUUGUAAAGCUGCAGGUUUUUGGUUGCCAUUGAUUUCUAGCUCCCACUUAUUUCUGCUCAGCCUAAUUUUCCAUUGGAUUAUGAGGCCAUUGAAAUGCUUAUCCACUGCAAAUCUGGGAGCUGUAUUCUGCUUGGAUAGGGCUCAGUGCUUCGGAUGAUGCUGUACUCUUUCUGCUUGUCCCAUAAAUGAGAUGAUUUGAACUGCCAUCCAUUUAUUUUCUACUUCUAUUGAUUUUAGUGAUUUGAUGAGUUAUUACUUUGCUACACGGGGAGUAAGCAGAAGUCUACCUUUGAUAGUGAAUGAUAUACACAAUGAAUCUAUGCAGUUUUUUUACCCUUAGAUUAUAACAUUCUUCUUCUUAAAUCGUGUGAUAAGCUGUGUUCAAAUUUUGUGGUUGUCCCAUAUAGGAGGGCUACUUUUCUCAAAAAUGAGCAAAGUACGGUCUGAAAUGGCUUCAACAGAAAUGUGGAAGGUAUCUUUUUAUAAUCAUUGAAAAUUAUAUUUUCCAGUUCAGAUGAGGCAUGAAUGAAUCUAGUUAUUUCCAUGUAAAGGUAUUUCCGAUUGAAAGUUUAUGGGAAUUGCAGGAUUGAAAGUUUAAUUUGGCACUAUGCAUCUUAGUUACCAGCCGUUUUUACUUGUUUCUUCACCUCACUCUGGUCAUUUAUUGUGGUUUGUGUAACAUCUUUUCUAUUAACAGGUUGCCAGUUUGGCUGCUGUGACUCUUGUAUGUUUUACGACAAGUGCACUAAUAGCUCUUAUUUCUAAUGUUCCCGUAAGUUCUUCAUCAGCAUUUUUUUAUUUAAUUUCAGGUAAACGUAAUAUUUCUGAUUUGGUUUAAGUCUUCAUUUCUUGCCGUAGGUUCUCUAUGACCACAAACCAGAUGCAUAUAGAAGAAGCAACCCGAUUCCAUUAUUUCUAUACUAUUUUGUUGGUAAGUUUACAUAUUUUCAUUGAACCUAUGUUAGUGACCUGGUAUCGGGGUUGAGCAUAAAUAUGAGAAUGUUCAAUGCGUAUAAUGCUUCAGCUGUAUUGCCACUUUACAUGGUCAGGAUUUACUUUUUGCUCUAUGCUUCGUUACAUAUUACAUGUAUUCUUUGGCACCCAAGUUUAUCUUUGUUGUGAACAGUGGCACGAACCUUAGGAGGAUAUGCAGACGAAAAGCUCAAACUCGUAUUCACAUCAUAGAUGACUAUUAUAUUCAAGUGCCAGCGCCAGAAAACAAGGAAAAAAAUACGUAACAAAUAGGGAAUCAGCAAACUAGCAAACGAACCAACAAACCAGGAAAUGGUCCAACUAAGAGCUGAACUCCUAGUUAUACAUUCUUUUCCAUAAUCUUCCCAAAACGAAUUUGAAAUUGUAUUGAAGCUUGGGUUUCUUGGAAAUAUUCGGUAUUAUUAUUCCAUUCAUUGCUUAGGUUCUUGAUGCUGCUCCAAAUAGUUGCAUGAUAGGAACAAUCUUCAAAUAUACGGGAACUUUGGACUACAUUGGCCCUUUAUUGUAGAUUGUUGUGGUUAAAGGUUCCUAUUAUCCUCUGUACUACGGAUGCUCUGAAAUUGAGUAACUGGAAGGAUUGAUGGCACUGCUACACUUGGGUAUCUACAAGAGUCACGGUAGCCAUUGAACAGUCAAGCAGGUUUCUAGCUGGAAUACUAUAUAAUCUCCAUUAAAGAUGAUAAAUUCUACGUAUGUUUUGGCCACCGUGGUUUCUUCCAGGGUUGGACAGUUAAAUAAAAUCCAAUCAUUACUCGUACUCUUCAUCCUGCACACUCUUUUUUCUCGAUCUGCCACUGAGCUCCGUUUUCUCUUAACAUAGAUUUUGGUGUUCGCCUUGCUCCUUCCCAAACGUACUGCAUUAUUUCCUGUUGUCACCUUUGUUGCUGCCCAGCUUUUAUUUUCCACCAUCUAUGCCAUCGCUCUGCUUCGAAGUAAGUCUUUUAGAAAUGUGGGCUCCUUAGAUACACACCCUGAUAAAAUUUUAGUUGCACUUUUCCUUCUAUAUCAUCCUCUAAAGUUUGCACUACUGUGCGCCAUUUCUUCUAUUGGCUCCUGUUGGCCGGUCUCUGGUUAAUUAUUCACAAGUGGGCAUUAUGCUUGCCUUUGCUCAUACUACAGCAUGUCCCCGUGAUGUGCUCUUCUUACCUCUUCUGAAAAUGGCUUUCCUUGAAUACCCCAUGAGGCCCCCAUUGUCCUUAUUUGACCUUUUCCUCUCUCUCCCAGGUUCAACGCUGCCCUCGGUGUUCGUGCUCUGGAUAAUGCGAGAGAUGCCUCGGCAGGUGAUUGACAGAGAGGCCCGGUCAAGAGUGGUGACUUUCGUCAGGGAGAGGUCGUCUUCAAAGCAUCACCCACAACCCUGGACUACAGCGACGACGUCAACAAACCAGGUCCGGUCCAUCGUCGCUAGAACAUCCAAAGAUCCAUUUGGGUGUCGCUCAAAUGAUUCUGGUUGAGCGAAUCAAUUCUCGCAUGUGUGUGAACUUAUCCUCUGCAGGCCUCCAGAGCAAGCCCCGCAUGACAUGCAGCCUCUCUCCCUCGAUUUUCCUUCAUUUUGGAGGCUCGAGCUGUGCGCUGCCUGCCUGCCUGGCUUGAGCCUCUGAGUCUGCCAAUGGCCGCGUGGAGGUUGAGGCGUGGAUCCUGGCUGAAAAUGGCAUCCAGCCCAGGAAGCUAGAUCCAUUCUUCUUCACUUUCCUGAAUGAUGGAGCGAGCCUGUUGAGCCCCUGAUCCCCAGAUUUGUGCCAUCGUUCAUAAUCUCUGAAAGGUCCUCAGUAGCCCCACGUCAGUGUAAAUAUACCUAAUCAGCCACUGUGAUUUUUUAUGGUGGGAUACAUUCUUCUCCCUUUUACUUUGUUAAGGUUGUGGAUCGCUCCAACUGUUCAAUCCCAUUUGGGUAUUUCCGAUAUGCAUGGAGCUCUUACUUCUUACUAGUUGUCUCUUAUGUUGGUCAUGAGCUUGGAGGAGAUGGAGAGAGAGGCCAAGAGUAGGUAUAGCAUAUUGUAGAGGGUGAUUAUUGUAGAGCUUUUAAGAGGGGGAUAUGGGGAGCAUGAGCUAGUUGAUAUAUUUUUUACCUCUUGACUUGAGUAUUUCCUUCAUGUGUGACUUGCAACUUGUCACAAACUUUCUUCGUUGUCUUGAAGGUCAUUACUCUAUUAUAUUCUUUUACAUCUUAGCCCAUUUGUGAAGAUGUUUUUGGCUUUGGUAUUGAGGGAUAAAAUUUUCCCACAUUGAUUUAUGAAGAGAUAUUUAUUAACUGUUAUUGGUCUAUCUACAAUAAUCUCUCAUAGUUGAUAAUUCAUCUCCUAAAUAAAUAAUUUCAUUUUAUUUUUCUAAAAAUCAUAAUUUGUUCCAUUCAAUAGGGGUGGUUGAUGUACUGAUCCUCUUUCUAAAUUGUAUCAUAAUGUGUUGGCGAUUGAAUUUACUCAAAGAAAUUUCAUUCUUGUAAUCUAAAAGUAGACUCUAAUAUCACUUGUUGGGAUUUAGGUUAGUAAAGAUCAAGAAGAGGGGUGAAAUUGAUCUGCUCGUUUUUUCUUUAAUAGAUUUAUUUCUAUGAUUUUUUUAUCACUUUUUUAUUAGACUGAUUUUAGUGGGUUGUGAAUGUGGACUCACAAUUUAAAGUGGUUCAACAUCGGCUUAUCUUCACUCCUAAGGACACUUCAUGUUAUUGGGUUUCACUUAAUGAUCGUUCAUAUUAUAACCACUUAUUCUACAAGUUAACUCCUUUAGGAUUUCAUCAAGAAACCCUCUUCUAGAUUUAUGGCUCUAGGAAAUCUUACAUCGUUAUUUUCACUUGACAACUCCUCAAGUGAUUAGAUAAAUAAUCACUAUUUUAACUGACAAAUAUAAAUCAAUAUCACUCUAGGUUUAUUUGGAGGAUAUGCUUUGAAGCACUAGCUUUUUGUAAUAGUAGAAGACAAAUAUACAUAUGCUUGAAUCUUUAUUUUCUUGUUAUUUUUGUCAAUUGUCACAAUAAUUUGAAGGUUUGUCAUAAGUUCGGCUUGAAGAUAAAGAAUAUCUUGAAUGCUCUCCUCAAAAUGAUUUCUUUUGAAUCAAUAAAUAGCUAGUUGACCCAUCCUCUCUCUCUCUUUCCUAUGAAUGCUUUACAUGAGGAUUACUAAAUACAGGAAGAAUAUAUAGAAGAAUAAAUAUAGUCAUUAAUGAUUGUUUAUUUCUAUUGGAGAUCAGUGAUAUUUAUAGAUAAAUUGUGUAUACGUUAUUUAUAAAUUUUCUAGGAUAUCUAAUGACUAGAUUCACUUAAAAUAUAAUUAAAUUUGAAACUUAUAUUAAUCCAAUAUAACAUGGCCUUUUGUUGUUUUGAAUAUUUUCUAAAGAAACUACUACAUGAAUCUUUUAACACAAUGUUUGUAUCUAAUGGUAGUCUAUUCAUAGAAACUUGAUAAGCAUCUAAUAUACAUUGUUAUGAACUCGAUAUGAUGUCUUACAUAAGUAAUAAUUUAUUGAAUUAAAUAAGAUAUGAGAUGUAAAUAUGCUUUGUAUUCUUCAAUUUCAAUGUCUCAAAUCAUGUUGAUAUUGGUCUGUAUGAUUUUCAAUAUAUAUUUAGAAAAUCCUAUUUGAUGAAUUCAACACUCAGAUUAAUCAUACAAUUAACUUGACAUGAAAAUCAUUCGAUUGUUAUAAUGCAAAGUCAUAAGUUUGUACAAAACUAAAUAAGCUUCCAUACUAUUUUUUUACUUUACCAAAUCUCAUUGAUUUGCUUAUUCAAAUCAUUACUCUUUUAACUGUUAUGAUUUCUAUAUAUAAUGACAUUCUCAUAUAACGACAUACAAUAUGAUUGAUUUUCAUAAUAUUAUGAUUUGAUUGUUCAUAUACAUAUCACAAGUGUUUUAUAUUUAAUAUAUUUUCACUUGUAUGCCCGAAAUCAUAACAUUCAUACUUUAUGUAUAUAUUUUCACAUAUUAGAUUAUAAUGAAUAUUAUAUAUAUGAUGUAUUUAUCUAUAUUUAUUCACAUAGGUUUAUUUUUGAAGUAUAAUUUGCUAAUUAGAUUAUUCUUAAUUGAACUUUGGUGAUUUUCUCAUCAUUAAGAUAUGAUGCCUCCAUAGCUCCAACAAUUCUUACUAUAAUAUAUGUGUUAACACAUCUACUAACAUAUAAAUAAUUUGAAUAGAAAUUUUAAAAAAAAUAAAAUCUUUUAAAAACCUCAAUUAACCUUAGUUUUAACAUUUCAACUAAUCUUAGUAUUGAAAUAGACUUUGAUAUUAGGUAUCCAACGUAUGACUAAAGAGAAUAGAAAGUCAACCUUAUUAUUCAAAAAGAAAGGAACAUCAAUAACCACUUGGAUAAUAACAAGGUUUAAAUUAUUAGAUAUGGCAACAUUAGUCUCAAUAAUCAUAUUUCAAGUGAAAAUGUAGUAGUUGUAAAAGGUCUAAUACACAAUCUAGCAAGUCUUAGUCAAUUGUAUAAUAACAGAAACAAAGUAGAAGUAAUAAAUGAUAGUUGUUGUCUCUUAAAAUUUGAAAAUAGUAACCACAUACUAGUCGAGUAAGAGAGAAUAGUGUAGAUGUUUUUCAUUUGCAUAAAUUAGUUUUUUUAAUGAAUGUUUAAGAACUAGUUAUUCUAAAAAUGCACUGAAAAUUUGGCAUAAACAUUUAUAACAUGUGAGCACUUUCACCAUAAAGAAAUUAUAGAAAUUAUAUUUAGUGAAAAUAAUUUAUGAAUUAAAAAUCAAUAAUUACUUUGAGUAUGACACAUAUUAAAGGAAAAAAAGUUAAAAAAUUAAUAUAUCAAAAUAUAUGAUUGUGCCAAGUCAACUAUUGUAAUUAUUGCAUCCAAAGUCCCAUGAUAUGGAAAAAGUUAUGAUAUUAUUUUGGGAACACAAUGAUUCAGCAUACAAAUUGAAAAGAAAGAUUUAAAAAUCCAAUGAUGAUUUUAAGUAAAUUAUGAAUGAUUAUUAUGGAGAUUUUAGAAGUAAAAUAAUUUUAGAAUCCAAUGAUGAUCAAGAACUUUUUUUGAACGUUUUUGUCUUAGAACGUCCAAACAAAGUGGAGUUGUAGAAAGAGAGGAUACAACUCUUUUAGAUAUAUCUAAGACCAUGAUAGAAAAAAAUAAUGUUUUAUUAUUAUUGGAUUGAAGCUAUAAAUAUUGUAUGCUCCUUUAAGAAGAGAAUCACGAUCAAGUCUAUAGUGAGAGAAAACGCUCUAUUUUUUUAGAAAAUAUUAGUUAUUUUGUUAUCUUUUGGGUGCAAGUAUUAUAUUGUUAUAAAUGCUUCAAAGGAAAUGAGAAAUUUGAUAUAGGGACUGAUAAAGAAACUUUAUAAGACUUUUUUAAAGUUAUAUCACAAUUUAGAAUUAGUUAGUUUCUGAUCUAAUUUUUGUAUUGUAAUAUUAUUUAGCCCAUUUUUUUCUGAAGUUAUAAUUGAGUCCCUAUUUGUUGUACUAAUCAAACCUGAAAAGUUAAAAAUAGUAAAUAUGAAAAAUUAUGACAUUGUAAAUAGAAAGAUUAGUUGCUUUGUCCAUGAUAAAAGUCAAAUAUCCCUGACUCAAAGAUUACGACAUUGAAAUGGAAAAUUUCAAUCCUAUUUGUUUGUACUAUUCAACUAAAUAUUCCUAAUAAUUGCAUCGUAUGCUAUAGAGCAAAUCAUAUAGCUGCAUAACAUCAUUUUGUUAUAGAUGAUGUGAAUAGAAAUGAUAUACAAUUACAACUUUCUACAAACUAUAACAUAAAACUUGACAUUUCUAGUGGAAGAAAGAUACAAUUUAGGAAACAUGAAAAAGAUUGAAUAUGUAGUGUUGCUAAGGUACAAUUUGAAAUUUUCUAUAGCUUCAAUAUAAUUAUCUUUUGAUUAAAUAACUUCUAUGAUAAAGGCUCUAAACAUAUCUGCUGACUUUAAAAGUACUAAAUCAUUGUUUUUAAACGAUUAGAACUAUUGUGGCUAGAAGAGUUGAUGUAACCUAUAUUCCGGCCCUAAAUUCACCUGGCCCAUAGUAAAACGUGCCUUAAAUGCAUUAUAAAUUAAUUUCCCUUUUUAGUCAUUUUGAAUUUAAUUAAAUGUGUCUUGAACUAAUUUUAAGGUAGCAUAAUAAUAGUGCUAUUUUCUUCAGGGCAGCCUAACAAACUUUCAAAAUAUUUAAAUUUCCCAUGUCAUAGAGGUAUUAUUUAGUAUUCAUGAAGUAUCUAUUUUGGAUAUUUUACCUCAUUAUCGGUUGCUUAUGGUCCCUCUCUUGUGGAUUCAAGUGAACUAUUUUGAUAUUGUAUAGUCACAAUCACCCAUUAUGGAUUUAAACGUCAAAUCAUCUUAGUUUUAAUCAUUUAGAGUGAAGAAUCUUCUCAAAAAUUUUGUUUUCUGUGAAUUCAAGGAUGAGAUUUCAUCUCUACUCAACUCCAAAUGUGUAAAAAAUGAACUAAGUUUAAUGUAUGUGAUUAUUAUAUUUGUAUGCACACACAUGUCAAUCUUGGAAAAAUGUCAACACAAUACUUUUGAAUAACGUUAAGUAGAUUACAAGAAAUAUGUUCCACGUUACUCACAAUUUUAGCAGGAUGCAACUUCCAAGGCUAUAACCUAGUAUUAUUUUCUGGUCUAAGUUGGUAAGUUGUAGAUGUAUCUCAGUUACACUUGCUACGAUUCUCUAAUGUCAGGUGAGGGGCUUGAGAACUGGAAGAGCACGGCUAGCGUAGUCGUCAGUGUAUUUUAGUCCGAUGUCGUGGACUUCACGCAGUUGUCGAGGGCAAUGAGGUCUGGAUCCACCGUGGGGCUGCUGGCGAAAUCCUAAAAAUUGGGUCUUUAUGAAAAUUGAAGUUCCGGACUGAAAGACUUGAAGGCGUUGGGGGUUUUCACAGUGAGUUUGUGAAACCUUCCUGUUUCGGCACAAAUUACCGGGUUUGGGCCGGAAAUACCUCCCGCGACCUGCUUGCCCUGCGAGAAGUUGGUCUGCCCCGCUCUCUUCCCCGUCGCCCCCUCUUCUCUCGCCCUCUCAGAAGCCUCAUGCUGUUGCUGGCAUGUUUACAUCUUACUCUCUUCGGUCUUCUCCAUCAUAAUUUCUUGCCGGGGCUUAUCCCCGGUCGAGCGUUCUGUACUUCUCCGCUCUCUGAGGCUUAGUAUCAUCCUCGAAGGUGUCAUCGCCACUCAUUCGUUCUGCAUGGGAACCUCGGUGACGUUAAGCUGGAGUUAUUUCUGACGUACGCUCGGUACCCGCUCAUAACUGUGGCGCGUCUCGAUUUUCAUAGAGAGAUCCCCAGGUUUCACUCUUCAACCAUUUUGUGAAUGCAGUAUUCCUAAAACUGGUUAAUUUUUGCUUUUUGAGAACGACCUUUCGGAAGACGUAAGUAAUUUUCUUAUAGUUCCCAACUGAAUAGCCAAUGCAAUUUCCUGCACAGUUCAUUGUCUGACAUUCUUAAACCUGUGCAUUAUAUCUUAUAAAAAGUGCUGCAUAAAUACCAAAAAGAGAACAGCCUAAGAGGGAUUCAAUAAACGACUCCAGCCAUCUUUGCUCAUAAGCAUUUUCCAUUACAUUGUUUGGAAGUGGAAGAGCCAUCUGACUAAGAUUCACCAUGGUUGCUAUUCUAUUGAUCUUUUGGCAAAAUAGUGCAAAUUUUCUCUCCCAUUUCGUGAAAAAUGGGAGAGAAAGAACUUUAUAUUAAUUAUUCAAAUGACAGAAAAAAACUUAUUUAGGAAGAAUGCACAUGUUUAGCAGACAUGUUGCUACUUCAUGCUAUGUCUUGAAAACCGUUUUUCCUGUUGUUUCUUUGAAACGAAAAUUUUGAUCUCAUCUUCUAUAAAAUGGACUGCUAUGGUCGAAAGACAACCCGUUGAUGAUUCUCAGUCAUGGCUGUGCAGCAGUUUCCAUGAAAGACAUUACUCGGACAUUAAUUUCAAGCAACCGGAUGGACUUUCCUUCCUGGACAUCGCUCAUACGGGAGAUUGAGGAAACAUCCGCUGUAUGCUUCAUUCUUCCUUUGGCGUCAUUGUUAUAAAGUUUCGUACAGACCAUACAUUUCAAAUAUGUUUAAGAAUAGUUACUGAGAAAUCAUAAAUGCAGUGAGAAAAUGAAAGAUGAAGUACUCAACUUAUGUCUCAUUGUUCACAUUUAAAGCUAUUUAACUAAUGUGAUGCAGGAAACCAGUAUAGCACCGGCGAGCUUUACAUUGUUUAGUCAUCUAGGUCUAAUUUUGCGUUAUACCUUUGUCACCUUCUCUGUUUUAUAGACUCUUAGGCUGUAGAAAGCACAUUCAAUACCAAGAAAGCCCUUACAGAGAGAGUCUGACAAAGCAGACCGUCCAUUGAUGACAAUUUACCUUUUCUAAUUGAAACAAGAAACUUACACGGGCUGGAUCCUUGUUGAUAUCUAAUUUUUUGGCAUAUUGGUUAUGCGAUAGCAUUGGCUUUAGAAUAAAAACCAUAGGUGCGCGAAGCCAAGUAUAAGCUCAUGAACAUAUAGCUGUUGAAUUUCUUCACAGUACCUACUUGGGUUCUCACAGAUCUUCAAGGAUAACUUAUUAUACUUGGCAGGAGGAAUCCAGUAUAUGAAGCCUUUGAAUGGGGUUUAAAAACACAAUGGUUCUUGGCUAUGAUUUUAACAUUCAAAAUGUCUCAAGCUUAAAGAACCAAAGAAAAAAUCUCUCAAAUGCAUCAAUGUUCUCUGAAGUCUAUGGGAGUCUUCAAGUCCAAUUAUUUUGACCACUCUUUGUGGAAUCUGUAAGUCUAUUCUGGUUGAGUGAGCUUUGCAGUAAAUAAGGCUUUGCUUAGUUAUAAAAGAUUGCAUAGUACAAUAGGUUCGGUCUAUUUGUUUAUAAUUGUUAAAUUGACGUGAGUACUGCAGAAAAUAUCACUCUCUGGGCUCGACAGUGGAUGUGAAUCACUGUUAGCAGGUUCCCUAAUUGGUUUUGAUUAUUAUUAGCAAUCAGCUUUUUUUGUACUCUGUACUUAGCACGAGCAAUUCAUACUCACUUCUUAUUGAUAAUGUUGGUGAUUAGGUAUGGCGGAAUAUAGAUAGUUAGAUCCACUUUAGACCCUCCGCAGCCUUUUUCUAUGCAGCAUGAUUAAUAAAUAAAGUCUGGUAGGUUUAACGCAUGCAACUUGGAUGGUAUGUAGUGCUUCCAGUGGAAGACUGGUGAGUAAGGUAUAAGAACGUGAGAGAAGAACAAAUCACCGAUCAACUUUUCCUAAGAAGAAUUGGUUUUAGCCCAUGUGUUGACUGGCCAAUGCCCAUAAAACUACAACUUCAAAGCAGUAGGGAAUGCACAGCACUCUGCCUGGUAGUCUGCCUACCAUAGCCUUUAAAUCCCCUGAGGGAGUCCUCAUAAUUUAAGUUUCUCAUAAAUUAUAUUACUUUUCUCUGGCUGUCUUGAUGGGGCCCCCCCUUUUAUCUUGUACACGGGCUAAGACAUAUUCCCCUUAUGAUAUCCCCACAGUGGAAACACUGCUGCUAUUGCAACGGCCCACCCACGGAAGCCAUCAUGUGGUCAGUCUCGCCUGGUUCCUUUUGCUUCUUCCUAUGUCCACCUACUGCUGUCAUUCGUGGUCCAUGGACAGUGCCAUUGGAUCUGAAAGUAACAUGCAAGGAACUGUCAUGCCACACUGACAGCUCCUUUUUGACAUGAAUCGGCUUUUGUGAUCUAUUCAAUGAGAUCAUACGUUGGGCUGUUCAUAUGUGAUGAGAAACUUGUCUGGUCAAGUUGGGAAAAUAGUCAAGUUGAUCUCUUACUUUUUUGAUGGCAAUUAUUACUAUAGGUAUGAAGCUGCAAGUUCACAAAGAUGGUGGACAAUGUAUCCCCUGGAGGUUGUAAAAUACUGUAAAAAUUGUGGAAAAUCAAGGAAUAUUCAGUUUACACAUCGCACUAUUGACUUCGAAAGACAGGAAACAAGUAUAUGAGUUGGAGGUAGUUGGUGUCAAAGUGCUCACUGAGACCUUUGUUAUCUAGGAAGCUGCUUGAUAUGGAUAUCAGUUCAUCAGGACUUGUCCAUAGCGUGUAAUUUCUGCUGAUCAGAUCCAAGUUUUGCACAUCUAUGGUGAAAUCAUUGCUUAGGUGAAAGCCCAGUGAUAAUAAUAAUGAAAUUAAUCAACAUGGAUUAGCUGUGUGCAUUUUAGUAUAUUUUGAUCGAGAGAUAAACACUAUCUUAACUGACAGAGGAAUGACAAAUUAUUCACGUGAAAAGAGGCCAAGCUUGGGAAAGGUAGGGUGAUGUCAUCCAUGUAUUGUUAGUGCAUAAUCACUGUGGCUAGGGAAGUACUGCUGAAGAUAUAUUUGAAGGGUUGAUCUUUUAUUACUUUCUUUUUCACUUGAAAAGCCAACUAGUUUCAGAGCCUGAAAUUAUAAGAAUUAAUCCUUAAAUAUUCUCUGAUGUGAACGCUCAACUCAACUCUCUGCUGAUAUAGAUGCAUACAUUUUUAUGCACAAAAUCUAAAACUCAGACUUGAUGCAAAUUAAGAGCAAUUUCGUGGUGCAACACUGCAUCCUAGGUAUUAAGAAUAUUAGACCUUCAAAGUCAACGGCUUACAACCUGAAAGAUUUUUAUUUGUUGUCUUAUUUUUUGUCAACUCUUUAUUCUUCUAGCAAUUUUUUGAUAAAACUACCUUGCUUUUGAUUUGGAGUUCAAGUGAACUAAUUUUCUUUUUUGUUGCUUACAUUACUGAUGUAUUUUGGAUCGAAUGAUGAUCAUGACACACUCAUAGUCAUAUCAGUUUUAUGUUUUCUAUUACAACUACAGGAUGACAGUGGUGCCACAUCAAGAGUUUAUGAAUCCUUUUUAUCAGAGUAUCCUUUGUGUUAUGGUUAUUGGGAGAAGUACGCAAACCAUAAGGCACGUUUGUGUUCUGUUGACCAAGCGGUUGAAGUUUAUGAAGAAGCUGUGAAAGUAGCUACGUAUUCUGUUAAUCUAUGGGCCAAUUAUUGCAGCUUCGGUAUGCAAUUUUAUGAAGAUCUUGACGAUGUUCGAAGGUAUUAUAUAUCUUAGUAAUCAUGGUUAUGUUUUGAGAAACAUUAAUUGUGAUGCUUAUUUAUUCAAUUGAUGAUGUGAAAACAGAACCUUUCAGUGACAAAUGUUGAAGCAUAUGGAAUAUUGGUGAUAGAAGUCAUCCCAUUAGUGAGUUUAAUAAUUAAGGUGUAUAAGUACGGUUGCUAGUGAAUUGACAAGCACAUGAUGAGCAGUAUCUUUUUUGGAAUACUGUAAUUUCUUUGUUUAUUCUGAUGGUUACAAAAUCACAGUUUAUGCCUACUGGAUUGAGAUCUUGACAGUCGAUUUGCACUUUUCAACACAUUGAAUUAAAAUAGAGAGGAUGAUGCUCCGAGUUGGCAUAGGUGUUUAAAAUACCUAUUAUUCUCAGAAAUAAAAGAACUGUUGAUAACAUAUCUACUGGUCUCAACAAAUCUCAUUAAGAAUUAAAAUCAUAAUACAUAGAAGUAGGAAUUAAUCUAGGUACAAUGAUAAAGUUGGUCAAUGAAUGUGUUGUAAUAUUGACAGUUUACAAGAAAAGAAUUAGGACUGUAGACUUAAAAAUUAAGUUAUUCAGGGCUUAGUAUCGAAUGAACUGGUCAGUAAUCUUCUUGAAGAGUUUUGUGGAAAGGAAAUCUUAACGACAUUAAAAAUGCAGCUAAGAUGGUUGUGCCAUUUAUGCAUCUCUCCAUCCUGAAGUACUGUCAUACCUUGUAAAAGACAAGAAAACGAAAAUUUCAUACGGUUAUAGAUGACAGAGGCCUCUUACUUGAUGUCUAUUUUCAGUUGUUUCAUCGCCAAAUGUCAAAAAUACACUAAUUAUGUAGGAAAAGGGUAGGAUGAUAUAAAAUUUUAAUAACUUAUGAUUGAAAGAGGGUCAGCAAUGUGAGAGGAAAUGAAGAACACUGGACGAUGAUGGGUGAUCAAAAUUUAAAUCACGAAAAAGAUGUGUAAUAAUACCGAGGGUGAGAUUCUUCGUACCUAUUUCAGGUGAAGGUGUUUGGACGGUCCCACCUAAAUUGUGAAAGAAUCUUCUUGAAGGCGGGAAUAUUAGCUGAUGUUGUGCUAUUACGAUGAGAUUGAGAAGUAGCUGCUACUAGUUUGAUUUGGUGAUUCUCCUUGCCACAGUAAAUGAGUACUCUGAAGAGAUACCAUGCUGAAAUACUCUUCUUCGAAGGGGCUCUAUUGACAAACGUAUUCUGUAAUUAAAGAUCAAAUAAAACUAACAAGUAACAUCAUCUUAGCAAAUUCCUUUAAAGAUGUCAUUUAGUUUUCUGAACAGGUCUUUACAUCUGUAUGAAUGCUGUUGUUGAGUUUUUUUUCUACCGUGGCUUAAUUUUCAUGUUUCUUUUGCCAAAUUACCUUUAUGAAUGGAUUCUUUUUCAAGCUGUUGUCCGGAUGUGUCUAGUACCCAUCACGUGUCUUCCUUUAUCACUACAUGUGUGUGUGUCUAGAACCUUCUGAGGGGGCUGAUAUAAAUACCAGACCCCCCUCUCUCUUGUAUGAUUGAUUUUGUUUGAAUAACAGAUGAAAUUUUCCUUUCUUUUUCUGUGCGUGAGUUACCAUACAGCGCACAGAACUUGAUUCAAGAUUCUACAAAAACGAAUAUGUUUAUUGACUAGCCUGUUUAUAUUUUUUCAAGUACUUUUUAUUUUGUCUUUUUUGGUCUAACAGCCAUUUCAGAUCAGUAUAUUCAGCCAAUCAUUAAAUGCGGUUCCCACUGAUCUUGUUAACAUGCAUUUGGUAAAUGAAUGUGAAUCUAUUUAAUUUUUUUCAUGAGAAAAGAGUCAAGGUGGUAAGGUCAUUGUUGGCUAUAUAUAGUUAAAAAUAAUUCUUCUUAUAUAUUAUUCCCUUUUUAGCUGUUGCACUUUUUUAUUCAUCGUUGCUAUCAUCAUUAUCCACAAAAUCACUUUGACCGGGGUUGAGCUUAUGAAUCCUGUUGUGCCAACCUACGCUAUCAUUAUCAUUUUCGAAUUCUAUAGGUACAUUUACUUUUUCGGCCCUUUCUGUGAAAUUAUUGUUAAACCAAGAGAAAAAAGUGGAGAUGUCCAUUCCUUUUGUUAAUUUCGUUGUGUGGGCAGGUUGUAUGAAAGAGGUUUGACAUUUGUUGGAAAAGAUUACCUAUGCAACACUUUAUGGGAUCAGUAUCUUGCAUUUGAGCAUUCUCAUAAACAGUGGAAUCGCCUUGUUGGUGUUUACAUUAAAAGUUUGAGAUUUCCAACUAAAAAAUUGCAUAGUUAUUACCAGAGGUAUGAUUCCUAUGUUUUGACAAUUAUUUCUAGUUUUAAUAAUUAUAUCUUAUAUUUUGAGAAAUGUUUACUAUCUGAUCCGUCAGCUUCAAGAAGCUUGUUACCAGCCUGGAAGAAGAAAUUAAAUAUCAAAAUAUUUGGAUGGAUUUAACAGAAGGUUCAGUAGCCAAUGAGCUGGGAGACUUGAAUACUGUUAAUGAUUCAAGAAUCAGAAGUAUUAUCAGUUUUCUUCUUGAUCAGCCAGCUGCCCUCUAUAGAGGUCAAACGCUUAAGACAAUUUUGACAAUUGGGGAAUAUUUCUAUCGGAGAUCAUCUGACAUUGAUGAAAAGAUUAGUUGCUUCGAAUCUGGGAUUCGAAGGCCUUAUUUUCAUGUAAAGCCCCUUGAUAGCAGUCAGCUGCAGACCUGGCAUCGCUAUCUUGACUUUGUUGAGACACAAGAGGAUUUUGAUUGGGUAUAAUUUCCCUAUUUUUCAUCACUGUUUUAGUUAUUGUUCCCUUUCGGAUGGACAUCGACAAUGUCUAUUUGCUUUUAUUUACAGACUGUGAAACUGUACGAGAGAUGUUUAAUUCCUUGUGCUAAUUACCCUGAGUUCUGGGUUCGCUACAUUGAACUUAUGGAAGCAAGUGGAGCUAGGGAGAUAGCAACUCACGCAAUCGAACGGGCAGUCACAUCUUCUCUCAAGGUAAAAAGUUUAAAAGGACCUAAUGACCCUAUUUCGUUCCCAAUAUAAGUUCACACAUUUUUAUAUAUUUCGUCAAGUUAUGUUCAACCAUUUCUAGUGCGAUGGUUGUGUCCUAAUCCUCAUGAUUUAUUUGUUGAUGGUGAAUUUGUGCUAGGUUACAUAUAACUGAGGAGAUAUAUCAACCAUGAUACUUGACAACACAGUACUUAGAGAUAGAGUGAAAGUAGGUGUAGAAAACAAGUCUUUUUUGAGCAUUACUCUUUGGUUUGGAUACACCUGAAUCUUAAUUUUUUAGUUAUGCAGUGUGUGGGUGCUGUCUUAUGUCAAGGUCUGGAUAGUUGGGAAUUUGUUUCUGAACUUCUGGGUCCUAAUCCUAUCCAAGGUUGGAAUGGAGUGGCCUAUCUGCUGUCUAAGGAAUCAUAAAAGUUUUAAAAAUUCAGAAAAUAUGAAAAUCAUGAGAUUAUUCAAUGUGAUUUUAAAUUACUUCCACUUUAUAUCUAAAAUGAAUAAGUAUACUAUGAAUUAAAAGGAUCAAAUUAGAUGAUAGUAGAUGAGCAAUGUGGUACAGAAAUUAAAUGGUAGAUGUACUAUGUUAGAGCAUGAGUAUAGGUAGAAAUUGUUGGAGAUUGUGAUGCUGGUCCUAUUUGGUUAAACAUUUUGAUCACUAUGAUGCAAGCCAUCAUUUCUUGAUACCUUUCAGAUAUGUUCUGAAAUGUGAUUGAUUUUACCUUGCUUUCCAUAUUUGUUGGUCUUCCUUUUAAUCACUGUAUCCAUACUUGCUAUUGGACUAUGAAUGUGUAGUUCUAGACUUUGAGGUAAUUAAAUGAUCCUCUUUGUCGUUCAAAUGCACAUAGUUUUGUUUUCUUGCUUUAUUUGUUCUUAGCUCACUGUGCUUUCUUGCUUAUUGUAUAUGUGAUCCCACUUGCUUAUGGUGUAGCAUGUACUAAAUCAUCCUUCUUUCGCUAAUAUCACUUUUUUACUAUUACCUAAUAAGGUUCUUUUCUUUUUUUUUUCUGUUUGUCUUCAAGGACAGUAGAGCCACAUGUUUAUUUUUUCUUUAUCAUAAUUGACCCUUCGUGUCAAGCUAAACUCAAGCACAAAUACUGAUAUUGAUCAUUGAGAUUGAUGUACUGAUUGUUUGCUAGUCAGGAGAAACUCAAUUUUCAGGUCUUUCCAUAAGUUUUUUGAAAUAAAAAUUGAAGGUAAGAAAUGUAGGCUAUUGCAGAGCUCCUUACCUAUGUGACCACUGCUAGUCGAUUGUUGUGUUAAUAUAUCAGUCCAUUUAUCAUCUAGUUCGUGUAUGGAUAUCAUUUGAAUGCACUGCCAUGUGAAUGUCGUUUAAUAUCAUCUAUAAAAAAUAUGUUGUAGCAAAGGUCCUUUUUCCGUUCACUAGAUACAAGCGAAGUUGAUCACUUCUCAUAACCUUUAUGAUAUCGAAUUUCACCGAUUUUCUCAAGCAAGGCAUAUCAUAUAUUAAUCUGAACAACUGGUUGGAUAGAGCCCUAAAUGACCUUUCUAUCCUGGAUUCAGCUUACAUCUACAUCAGGAUCAAGUACCUGCACAAAUAGGAGGGAUGGUGUAAAGGUUCAAAAUUUUCCAGUUCACUGAACCGAAGAAUACUCAGGUUAAAUACUUCGAUUCCAUGUGAAAUAUCAAUCUUUGUAAAAAAAUUUGAGAUAUUCUUUGCCAACGAAAUCAGUGAGGACGUCACUAUGAGUCCCUGGAUGCGUCAGAGCUGCUUUUGGGAUCUUCUUCUUAAGCCUGGUUUUUGUACAAUGAACCUCAGAGAUGCAGGGUAUGCCACAGGGUAGAGUGGUUGUGCCUAGUGAAGCAGUUGUGCUGCUUCUGAGCUGUGGAAAUGGAUGGCAUUGUGAUGCAGGGAUGGAAGACAGAAGAGAAGACUCUAUCACUGUAAAUCUAGAUUGAGUUGGUCAGGUUUCUAAUACUCGGAUUAUCUAAACCUUCACCGCCAUGAAGUCUGCUUGCUGUAAAUCUCUUUCUUUAAUCCUAGUUGCCUUGAAUUAGUAGUCUGCUACAUGGUGUAUUAAGGUGGCAGCUGUUAGAAGAAAUAUUGUCGACAGAUGUUGGAAUUGGAAGACAGAAGAGAAGACUAAGUCCCUAUGUAUAAGACACUAAAACAAUGGAGGAGAAACUGAGGUUAUUCACUCAGGGGAAGGAGCUCAUCCAGGAUGGAGUCAUUUACUCAAAUUUUAUGGGUUGAUGAUAAAAUGAGGUUAACCGAUAAAUGUACAUGCUUGCCUGUAGUAUGUAAGGAUGGGUGAAAAUAGUUUUCCAUUUCAAUCAUGCUGCUCACUCUUCUUUCUUUUCAUUAAGGGUAUUGACAAUCUUAAAAUUAGUAUAUCUACUAGAUAGAUUUUAUGAAAUGGCAAUCACAAUGGAUCAACCUCUCAUUUGACUCACUUGCCAUUUUGGUUAUAUAUGCUUCUUCAUGGAAAGCAGAGAGUUCCACAGUUUCGUGAAUAUUGUGCAAAGGUCAAAGAGCGCAUAGGGGAUGCAUCCGGUGCACGUAGUUCUUUGCAGUACAGCGAUACAGAGUUACUGUCCAAUUUUGUUGACAACAUCAAUCAACAAGCAAACAUGGAAAAGCGUCUUGUAAGAAAAUUUCUUGUAUUUAGUUGAAACAUCAUCCAGGUAAAAUUGAGAUGAUCAUUGAUAAGUUCGUUUUUCAGGGAAAUAUUGGAGCAGCUUAUUCAAUCUACGAUAAUGCAAUUCAAAUGCUUAAAGAUAAGGAGGAUCUGCACGUUUUUUGUCUUCUCCAUCUGCACUUUGCCAGAUUUGCUUACUUGGUGGGGACUUUAGUACAGUUUGAGAGAAAUUAUCUUCUCACGUUAUAUACUUGCACACUACUAAAAUGCCUGUGACAUAACCACGUUACAAGACUGAAGAAUGGACUUUAUUCUUGACAUGGAUAGUUAUUUUAUACUGGGGCUCAUAAAACGCCGUAGUACAUUUUUCAUUUUCUUUCUUGAAUAAUUAAAACUGAUUUCUAAGUAUAUUGGUUGUUUCUGUUUACUUUCUACGUGAACAUCAAGCUCGCGUUAAAAUGAGUGCAACUGAACCUAAUGUCUUGAUAAUCUAAAUUUAAUAAUGAUUUCAUUGGACAGCUCAGAAUGUGCCGACUUGCAAUAGGUUUAGGUGUUAAACAACAUCUGUUGUUUAUAUAUAUCAUGUCUAUGGUAUGAUUCGUUUGUGUCGAACAUUGUCUCAAAGGAUUUCGCUGUAUUUCCUCGGUUUGAAGAUGAAUCAAAAGGUGGAAUCAGAUUGCGACUUUGAUAUUCGUUCUUUGGAUGAGGACUUUGGAUGAAUUUUAUGGUAUUUUACUCAAUUCAAGGAGAUUUCUUCUCCAGGUGCAUUGUAUCGUUUGUUCAGGCUUGCCAUACUGAAAAUAAUAAGCAUAUGUUCUCUCCACCUUAUUUACAUUUCGUUGGUAUUUCUGUAGUCUCCUUUUGGCAUGGUCUUUUGAUGGCUUAUUCUUUCAUAAUAAAGUGAAUUUUCCCUGCCUUAAUAGCCUAGGGCCACUCUUGAAUUUUUCUAAGUCCUUCGUGAAAGGGAAACUUUCUAUUUUUUUUGGCGUUUUCCUUAGGGAAACUGUCUGUUUAUUUGAGUCUGUCAGUCAGGUCUCCAAUAACAAAAAGGGAGUCUCGUCUUCAUUGUAAACACUUUUGAAUGAAUGUGGCUUAUGGGCCUAUAUCCUGAAUGAUUAACUGGGAUACUUAUCGGAGACAGUGUGAGGUUAUGCUCUAGUUGAUUCAGUAAUAACAAUUCUACAAUGAAGGAUACUCUUAUUAAGAAUUUUCUUGAGAGAGAACGGUAUUCCAUUUCAUUAGGAUUAUCCGUCAGCUUAAAAAUAUAUUUUCAUUUUACCUUUAGUUCAUGAACGUGUCUGGAAUUGUUCCCAGCUUACUUUAGCACCGCUGAAUAUUUAUAAUAAAAUGAAUUUAAUUGUGUAAACGUUCAGGGAAUGUAAAUACUUUGAAAGAUGAUUCAAUUAAGAGAAAUAAAGAUCCAUUGUCAACAUGGUAUCAGAGAAAUCUGUUGUCAGCAUUGUCAGCAUUGUCAGCAUGGUAUCAAUUCUCUGUGAAUAAGCGUGAUCCCAAUUAAUCGAAAAGAAUGCUUUCAAUAAGAGUAAUCUGUUGUAUUUGGUGCACAAAAUUUAGUUCGAGUUCUCAAUAGGUUUGGAUCAUUAAUUGCUUUGUUCCUGCUUCGGAAUUUCAUGACAAUAAUGUACAAGGAGACAGUUGGCAAUUGGGAAAUAGUUGUCAUACUCAUUAUCCUGAUCAUCUUUGGACUGAAUUCUACUUAUAUGUCUAUUGCUUUUCUGACCUAGAGUUCCACAUAAUUAUUCUGCUUGAUUUGUCCUGGCUAAAAAUAAAACUUAAUAAAAACAGAAAUCAGUUCAAAAUAUUUAUGUUAUCUGAAGUCCAUUCACGUCGUCAAUUACCGUGUACAUUCACGUUGACCAAUUGAAAGUGAUCAAUCUCAAAGCUUCCUGAGGAAAAAAUAUGAUAGUAAAAUUAUAUAUCCACGGAUGAUUCAUUUUUUUGUUACUACCGGUAUGUUCAAUAGAAUUAAUUUUCGAUUUUUCUCAUGCCUAUUAUCUUUCAGGUAACUGGUGAAUUAGGUGCUGCCAGAGAGGUUUUUAUCAAAGGGAUAUCAAGGGCACCUCACUGCAAAUCACUUUUUGAGGUUAUAUCAUUGAUCUCUUUUUGUGUCAAUUAAAUUCGAUUCCUGGCCCCCGUUUCUCUCGUCAACAAACGUUUUUCUCCAAAGGAUUUAACAGUCUGGUAUCAAAAGCAGGGGUGUUAUGAAAUGCAUGCUGUUCAAUAGAAGGCUACUUUAAAGUAUUUUGAAGUGUAUAUAUUUAAUUAAAAAAUUGUAUGUAAAAUCUGCAUUUCGAAUUUUUUUAAUGGUUAUAUUUUUUCAAAAAUCAUAUAUUAAAUUACCGCAGUUAUGCUUUUAAACUUUUAGUUUGAAUUUUCCUUGUUCUCAAAAUAUUAAGUCCCUAAGAAAUUACAUGUGUGUGCUUGUUAAAGAAGGAAUAGCCAUGCUAAUUGCAAGAGGGGCAAGGACGAAGAAGAGGAAGGAAAGGAAGUUAAACGAAAAACGAUCAAAACAUGACAAAACAGCAAAAGGGCACCUUUACGAAUCAUAUUUUUUGCCCUUUUAAGGGCAGUCAGUUCCUAUGUUUCUGUUCUUAUUAUAUGAUUGAUUAUUCUGUUAUGAUCUUUCUCCAGCAUUUAAUUUUUCUCCGAAGUACUUUGACUGGCAACUAGAUUAGGAAAUCUACAGCUUUACGGUUCUUAAAGUCAUAGUUACAUGAAUUUUUGGUGCUCUCUGCUCGUAAUCGGGCCAUCAAGUUCUUUACUAUUUUUUUACUUGUACAGGGAUUAAUUACAUUUAUGUCUAUCCAUGGGGGGACAGGAGAAAUUGGUUAUGUAGAUUCUAUUGUGGAACGUGCCAUAGUUCCAGAAUCAGGUGUGUCACUUGCAUUAAGCCUUACCGACAGAAGGGACGUGUCUAAUUUGUUUUUGCAGGUAUGCCAUCCUAUGCCAUUUGUAUUAUUCUGCCCUUUCUGUUUCAAGGAAAAUAGCCACUUCCCAUAAUACCUCACUAAAAAUGAAUCGUUUGCUGGGGUGGGGCCAUAUAAAGUAAGCAAAGCAGAGCUUUCUUCUUCCAGUUUCCAACGCACCAUGUGACGCUAGGGGUACUUAUAAUGCCAGAUAUCUCUGCAAUAUUUUUCAGUCGAUUUUGGAUUACCUAGUGAAGGUUUGAUUAAAAUCUUUGCGCCGCAGUGUCACUAAACAUGAAUUCUCAGAGGAUGCAGCAGCCAUUAAGACUUUCGUUUAAGAAUUUAGGGUUUUGUGAUUAAGAUUUGGGCUUUUCAAAGUUGAUGCUGGAUUUGCCGUGGAUCUGUCCUAUGAAGUUAAUGAUCCACUGUUAGACAGUUUCUACAGAAUUCAUCUCAAUUGAUAAAGCUGUGCUAGUUGGGCUAGUGAUUCUAUUUCUGUGCAUCUUGGAAUCAUUUUACUUUUUAUGAGGGCGUCAUCUUCUCCAGUACAGAAACUAUAGUGUGAUUUGUGGGUCAGCAAAAUAUUGCACAGCGAAUAACGUUGCACAGUGACCAACCUUAGGCCGGUAUGGGCACGCAGAAAUGGAGGGGCUGUUGAUCUGAUGGCAUGAUAUUAUAGUUACCCGCCUCGGCCUUAAGCUUCAUAAUUGAUGUUGAUGUGUGCCAUAUAUACAUGGGUUUAUUAUUAUUAUUAUUAUUAUUAGUUCACCCUUUAUCACAGGAUCUGAUUCACUGACAUUCAGCCUUGUGGGUAGCGAAUCGCCGUCAUUGUCCAGGUGACUAUGUGUAGAUAUUUUAGUGUAAUUUUCUCAUAGAGAGUUAUUUUCCAAACAGUUUGUGGACCUUUGUGGGACGAUCCACGAGAUCAGAAGGGCCUGGGCUCGACACCUGAAGCUGUUUCCACCUGCACAAGAAGCUGCUCCACUCGGUCGCCGUGCCGACGGUCCUGAGCUUUUGGAGAAGACCAAGGAGCUGACUGGUGCAGGAGACCCCGAUCUUAAGCCUGGGACAGGUCAUGCAGAUAGAGAGGCAUCAACUGAAGAAGAUGAUGCCCGCUCUUCAAAGAGAAAUCUUCUCCUCCUGCAGGAGGGGCCCGCUGCACCGGCCACCAAGUCUCAUCCAGCCGUCGCUGGUGACAGUACAGAGGGGAGCCCAGACCGUUCGCGGCUCCCCAGUGAAGAAGAGGAGCAGGCUAAUCGUUUUCAGGCUAUUCGGCUGCCUGCAGGCGCCGCUGUGCUGCAACAGGAAGCUCAUUCCUUCUCUUCUCUUGGUCCUGCUGCUUGCUCCGUACGCGGCGGAGGGGAGCGAACCCCACCGCUGCCGGGCUGCAAGACUCAGGACGAUCUAAGACCAUCUCUGGAGAGCCUUUCCAUAUGUCUUCCUGAUGAAGGUCAGGAAUCCAGCCCGAGCUCUCCUCGCAGAGGCCAUGGAGCUCCUCAGCCCCCCUGUGGGGAGAGCGGGCGCGAUGUUUGCAGUGACAGUGAGGCUAAAACAGCCCAACACAGGGCAUCUACAAUGCCAGCUACACCGAACAGUCGCACGCCGGAGCAAAAUCUUCGCCAAGAAAAAGUAAACGCCUUUGACAUAAGCCAACUGCCUGCAGAAGAGGCCGCUGAUCCCAAAUAUCCUCGGACCUCUGAAUGGCACUAUGGCGGGCAGCCCUCUGAGCUUCAACCCAGCUUAUCUGGAUAUGCCCAAACUCCACAGCAUCAGCAAUGGCAGGUUCCUAUGCAAUUUCAGUAUCUUCCGUACUCUGGAUUUAAUCCACAAGCUCCCCCACCUCAGGCAUACGCGUAUCAGCCACAGUUUUGGCAGCCAAAUAUCCAAAUGCCCGGCCAGAUUCAGGGCCAGUAUCAGAUGACUGCGGGCCAGGGAUUACCUCCCUGGCCCAUGUUCUGGCAAGCACAGAGUCUACCACAGAGCGGUGGAGAUGGAAGUCAGCAUCAAAUAUAUCAAUAUCAUUUGCAGGAUGGCCACGCUAUCUCCCCUGAGUUCUGGCAUUACUACCAGCAGCAGCUGUAUUAUAUGCAGCAUCUGCAGCAAGGUAGCAUCCAGGUGCAGCAGAAGCAGGAGCCUGGCCCGCAGCAGAAAAACGCUCCGUUGCAGCAUGAUCCUCUGCGACAGCAACAACAAGAGGAGCAACAUCAAGAGCAGCAUCUUCAGCUGAACAUCCUUCAGCUGCGGCAUCUACAAAAAAAAAUGGAAAUGGAUCAUUUGCAGUGGCAGGGCCAGCAACAGGAGCUUCGCCAAGCCCAGGAUUCGCAUUUGCAGCAUCAUUCACAGCCACGAUGCCAACCAGACGACUCACCUGAGUCUUCACCCACGCAGGAUCCUCCAAAAACACGACAAGACCAGCUAGAGCAGUAUGUGCAGCACCAAUCCAUUCAGCAGAAGGAUCGGAUGAUCCUGAGCCGCCAGGAACAUCAACAGCAGAUGUACUUGCCACAGCUGCAACAACAACUGCAGAAGCAGGAGAUCGGGACCUUGCGGGAUGCUAAGACCUCGAGAGAGAGUUACAAUUUAGAGGUAUCUAUCACCUGUCUUGUCUUCGUGCUAUAUUGCAGCCGAGUCUUGGAAUCAGUUUCGAAAAUUUUGACCUAAUUCCCGACGUAAAAAUCUUCUUAGGAUAUUGAAUGCUCUCUUCUCCUGAUAUAAUGUCCUAGCUUCUUCGAUUGAGUAUCAGCUGUAUGCUUCUGUGAAUUCAAAAAAGAUUACAUCACCGGCGCAUGAAUAGAAACUAAUUGGGCCAUGUUGCUCUUCAGAUUCAAGCACCCACUCGAGUUGCCGAAGAAGACGGCGCUGUUCAUCCAAUACCUGAGCCGCCGAAUGCCCCGAUCCAAUGACCCGCAGGUGGGAGAGCAGCUUUGCAUUGGCUUCAUUUGUUACAGUGAGGUCCGCAUCCGGCCUUCGUUGCCCAAGUUCAGACCUCUGGUCCGCGGAUCGUCCGUCAUCCAGCAGAUAACUCGCGAUUUGAAGGCCAUUCUGAAUCUGGCAGAAGCAGCGUCGCCGUUCGAAGCCGCUGAAGCAAUCUCCAAGCCCGCGCCGAGGAAGAGCAGCCGAGCUUCUCCGAGAAAGGGGGCUCAUCGGGCUUCGUCUUCUGGCAGAGCUCCUCCCGAGUUCCCUCUUUCUUUUACUCGGACGACUGAACUGGACCCCGCGGCCCUCAAAUCCCCUAUAAUUGUUGGAUCGACCCCCCUCGCGGGGAUGGAAACGCAAUGAUCUUCGAUGCGAGGGGCUUUCCUGCAAGGAAGACCCGAAGAGCGACCCGGAUGGGAAUAGUCAACGCUCGCAGGGCCCCCGAUUAUCUCUCUCCGCGCCCCCCCCUUUGACUAUCUCCACACACUCCGAGGAACGGCGCCUCCCGGCGGAAUCCUGCGGCAGAUUCUCUCCCUCCCUACUCCGGUCCGGCCCGUUGAAGAAGAGGAAGGGUCGUCCCCAUCGAUCCCCACUCAGCAGAUCCGAAUAUGCCGAGGAAUGCUCUCUCUCUCUCUCUCUCGCGCGCGCGCGCGCGCGCUCGCUCGCUCGCUAGCACUGCGUCGGCGAGUCGACCCCGUCCUCCGGCCGGCUGCACAUUGAACACCCGCGGCAUAUCCCCGGGCAUAUUCCCGGGGGAGCCCCAGCCGGUCCUGCUGCUGCUCCUCCCCCCAACUUGCUCUUUGAAGACGACGCCGUGCCGUACUGUGCCGUGGGAGCAGCCAAUGCGGGGGGGGGGGAGGGCCAUUUAGGAUCGAUCCCCUCCUCUCUGACGACGGCGGCGCCCUCGUCCGAGCUCGCCUAGGGCGCGGGGUUCUUCCGGCUGGCUGGUCGAGGCGGCGGAGGAUGAAGUUCGGGAAGCGGCUAAAGCGGCAGAUCGAGGAGACGCUGCCGGGGUGGCGGGACAUGUUCCUCUCGUACAAGGAUCUGAAGAGGCAGGUCCGCCUCAUCUCCUCCGACGCGCCGGGGAGGGCGUUUUCAUCGCCGCCGGGGAGGGCGGCGGUGUUGGAGUUCGUCCGCAUGCUGAAUGCCGAGGUGCACAAGCUCAACGUCUUCUUCAUCGAGCAGGAGGAGGACUUCGUCAUCCGCCACAAGGUAGGGGAGGAGAAGAGAUUGCUGGACGGCGGCCGCGGUGCUUCCUUCUCCUGAUCCGGAUCGGUGGUCUCUCCGCGCAGGAGCUGAGAGACAGGAUACGCGCCGCGGAGGAGACGGUGGGGCCUGGGAGCGCACGGCCGUCGGCGGCGGAGUACGCGGCGGAGAUGGGGAGGAUCAGGAGGGGCCUCGUCGACCUCCACGGGGAGAUGGUUCUGCUCGUGAACUACAGCAACGUCAACUACACGGGUCCUCUUCCUCUCUGAUCCUCGUCAACAUAUCUCAGAUCCUUUAGAUUCUUUCCUCGCUCGUUCUCCAAGUUUUUCUAGCAGAAUUGGCAAUUAUCGUCGGCGAUGAUGAGGAAUCAAUCGAAUCUACCCUGGCCGCGACAGGGCUGGCGAAGAUCCUGAAGAAGUACGACAAGCGGACCGGGGAUCUGCUGAGGCUCCCGUUCAUCGAGAAGGUGCUGACGCAGCCCUUCUUCACCACGGACCUCAUUUCGAAGCUGGUGAAGGACUGCGAGAGCACCAUGGACUCGGUGCUCCCUUCCCCGCCGCAGAAGAACCUGGAGGGGAGGGAGCGCAGAGCCAGAGCAGUGGCCCUCCCGCAUCGGCGGCCCGCCGGAGUAUCGUCAGGAACACGGUCGCCGCCCUCGUGACGAUGCAGGAGCUGCGGCGAGGGAGCUCCACUUACGGGCACUUCUCCCUCCCCCCGCUGAGCUUCCCCGAGACAGAUCUGCUGCAGGCCCUUCAGCUCCCAUCGCUCAUCUCCAUUCAGUGAGUGAGAUCCAUGAAGAAGCGACCCAUUUUAGCAGACACCCCCCCCCCCCUUCUGGUUCCAGACGACGGGGCGUGACGGAGGAAAAUCAGGGUCGCCCGGAGAAAGGAGAGGCCUUGUUAUCGACAGUCAGUAGUUCUUCUUUCGACGUGCUCGUCGCGGGAUGGGGGCUCUGAAUCGCCUCCCCCUUUGCUCCCCAUUAACGCGCUGGUUACUGGAAGAAGAAGACCUCCCUCGGUUGCUGGUAGCCGUGUUGCAACUAAUUAAAUGAAUAUUAUUUUUAUUCCGAUAUCUUUCAAAUCUAGAUAUUUUCCGAAUAUUUUCAAAUCUAGAUAUCUUUCCUCCAUUUUAUUAAAACUUGUUUAUUUUUUAACUGGAAGAUGGGUUUUUUUUAUUCUGCGAGAUAAGCGCCCACUUUUUAUACUUUCUUUGAUUGUGAGCCUUCACGAGUACUGGUGGCUGGCGCUUGAGAACCUCCAACUUGACAUGGUCAACAGUCAAGGUUAGGCGCGUGCAUGGAUGAAACCACAAAAACGGGUCCAAACUAGAUGACGUUCGUCCACCUGUCGCUUCCACAUACGCGUAUGGGUAAGUUGACCCAAGAGAGAGAGAGAUGGUGACGUCACUUCGAAGUUGAGUAGGCUGCAAGUCAUAGCAUCCACAAAAGGUAGCUACUCAAUAAAGGUCGGAAUCGUCAAAGUGGUGCAAGCAUGUUGUGGGUUUUGCUUCUAUCAGAAUUCAUGUAUCUUUUUUGUAGUUUCAAGAAGAAGGAAAAAAGUUGCAUCUUUUGCAGCCUAAAGGGUAGAACAAGCCCAACCCAUGUUGCCAAUUUUCGUACAAUUGAUAUUUUCAAUAUAUUUUUUUAUUGAAUUUUAGGUCGUCUAACUACAUAGUGGUUUCCCAUCCCAUGUUGAAGAUUAAUCUUUUGUUAAAAAAUAAAAUGGCUAGCAAAAUAUUUUGCAUUAAUCAUAGGAAACCAAGAAGUCAACUAAAUUAGUUUCAUUAACUUUUUCAUUGAAUGCAUGUUGGGCUUAUUGAGGCCAAAAAGAAAGAGGGUAGGGCUAUUUAAUAUUCGGCUUUCAGAUGGGUAAAGUUGGAAAUAAAUUAGAUGUAACAAAUAAGGAACAUUAUAAUUUAGGUAAAGUGGGCUCCCUAUCGACAAUCAAGGUGAUAACACAAGUGUUGCUCAUAAUCUAUAUUGGUUCCUGUUUUAUUUCCCCACUCAACUCUUUACAAAUGUUUUGUCCUAGCUCAACAUUGUUAGGAACUCUUUACUUAAAGCCGCUGGUUGCCACUAAGAGAUUUUUACCUCUGUAGAGAAGAUAGUCUAUGAAAAAAAGCUAAGUUGAACCCUCAAGCAUUAGUUCCAAACCUUCAUUUUAGUUUGACGUAUUAACAUAGAAUAUAAGUUGUUGUGUUAGCUUCAGCACCCAAAAGCAUUAUUCAAUGAGAACUGAUUUGGAGAACCAUUUACUUGUCAUUGUUAAGGUUCAUAAUUCUCCUCAAAGCAUUAUACAACCUAGAUUGAGCUUUACAUAAUUACCUAUUGACUGUUUCUUCUCUCAUAUAUUCUGAAUUUUAAAGUUCCUCCUAUGAAAACCUCACUAUAUUUCAUUAACAACUUUCUGUUGUACAACCAUUCUAUUGAUAUCUUCUAAUCUUGGUCAUUGUCUAUUCAUGAUGUCAAAGCAUAGACAUACUUAUACUAUCAUCAAAAGUGUGGCUUAGUAUACUCCCAUAUUGUAUAAUGCCAUCUUACACUCUAUAAUGCCAUCUUAAAAAAUAUGGAAUCAAAGGUGUGGCUUAGUAUACUCCCAUAUUGGUGGAGGAUCUUUUUAUAAUUCUCAUAUGUUAAAAUUUAGAAUAAACUUCUCAUAAGUUAAAGCAAUGACAUUAAUACACUCUUUCAACUAUAAAAGCACAAAAAAACAUUUUUCUAUCACUCUUUUUUCAUCAACAAAAUUUAUUUGGGUCUCAAAACCUCAAUAAUAUAGUGUCAUAUUUGAAGUCAAUAUCUAUUACACAAUCUUAUAGGGUUAAGAUUUUUAAAAUAAUUGCAAUAUCAAUUCCAUAUUUUUUUAUAGAAAUUAAGGAAUAAUGAUUUUAUAGAAGGAACAGUCUAUUAGAAAUCUUUAAAACUCACAUAAUAAUGGUACUCAGUUUUAAAGUUAACUUAAUUAUACAACAUUGGAAUUGCAAGGAGAUGAAAAAUUAGCAACUAGAAAUCUCAAAAUUUCUAGGUAAAGGAAGAACCAUCAAACAAUAUUAUUGCUUAAUACUAUACCAUUAUCUCAUACAUCAAUAAAACUUUUUCAAAGAAAAUUGAAGCCUUAUCAGUUAUUUCUUAUCAAUUUAUUUUUUAAUAAAAAUAUUUAUUAUUUAAUGUAAGUUAAAAUUUUAUUUUUUAAAUUAUUUGUGUUUGUUCUACUCAUUUUGAAUGAAAUUAAAAUUCACUUUUUCUUGGUUGUAUAAAUAAUAAGAAGUAAAGCCUCUAUUGGUUCUUAUGGAGGAUAGGGAGAAUACAAGGAGGUAGGAGUAAAUUAUUUCUUUAAAUUAUUUUCAAAUUUUGGUAUUUAAUUAUUUCUUUUAGUUCUACAUUAGGUGAUUUGGCACAUACUCAAGUUAAGUCAAUGUAGACUAACUUGGAUCGACAUAAUAUUGAGGUAAUUGUUGAGUUAAUGAUUUUGAUGUUCACAACUAAUCAUGAAAAGAAAGAAGAAUUAUUUUACUAUGCUGGUGUAUAGAUCAAGAUCGAAAUCAUUACAUCUAGUCAUUUAUAUUUUUAAAAUAUAAUUUUCUAGAUAUACUAUUACUACAUUAAUGUUGUGGAUCAAGAUCUAAAUCAUUAUAUCUAGUCCUUUAUUAUUGUUAAAAUAUAUCUUAAGAAAAUAGAUAUCAACUACCACAUAACUGAGAAGAAAAAUAAAUCAGAUUACAAAAAAAUUAGAAAGAAAAAGAGGAGAGAAAAAAGUUUCUACUCACAAAUCUGUGUCAGCCAUCAAGAAAUGAAAAAGAAAUAGACACUAGGCUGACUUAGAAAACCUUGUGUCAACUCAAGUAGAAUUGGGAAAGAGAGGUGAUUCUUGAGCCAAAAAUAUUUGUGGACAGAUUCAAAAUUGAGGAAUAAAAUGAAAGUUUUCAGACCUAAAAAAGCCUAUGUUGACUCAUCCAAAAUUGAGGAAGAGAAAUACAGUAUCAAGUCAUAAAUGCAUGUGUCAAUCCAUUAAUAGAUGUCCCAUCCCAUCCAAAACCAAAAAGAGAGGAAGUGUGUAAAACAUGUCCUAAGCAAGAAAAGUUAAGCCAUUCAACCUAAAGGAAAAGAAGAUUUGACUCACAUAAAAUGCAUUUUGACAUAUCAAAAGAUCAAAGAGUUCAAAAAGUUGGUCAGCAAGUUGGACAAACUAACUUUCGUGUAGUCUUACUAGUGGGUCAAUGCAAGUUUUGACCUAGGUAAUUUUUGAUCAAUCAAAUCGUAGAUGUUGGGAUUGUAUAAAUAAACCUUCACAUGAUCUUUCAAACUUAAACUUAACAAUUUCUCAAUUUCACCAUAAAUUCAGAAAUUAUUCUUAAAACUUUUACCAAAAGUGCAUCAUUAUCAAGGUUUUGUCAAGUGUUUAAUCAUUAGCAACAUCAAGUAGGCCCAUUCUCUUAGAAUUUGUAUUGAAAUAUAACUUCUCUAAGCAUAAAUUUAUAUGAGAAGCACUUUUGUCUUUCCAAUGAGAAAAUUCAGAAAUUUGAGUAUUAAUUCAUUCAAAAAUUACGUAAAUUAGAAUUAGGAAAAGGACUGCUCAAUCUAAAACUAGAUGAGGAUUUUCAUUGUGGCAUGUAGUAGACCGAAACACAUUAGGACAAGUUAUUAACCAGAGUAUAUGGUCAAAACUAGGAAACCUUUGGAAUUGUUGUAAAUGGAUUUCUUUAGUCCAACUAAGGCAUAAGUCUUAGUAGAAAAAUAUUUGGGUAUGCAAUCAUUCAUGAUUUUUAUAAAUUUACAAGGGUAAUUUUCUAAAAAGAAGCAUAAUUAACUCAAGGCAUUUAAGAAAUUUAACCAAAAAUAAUAAUAAUGAAAAUAAAUUGAAGAAUAAAAUUAGACAUGAUCAUGAAUGACAAUUUAAAAGUUUAAAUUAUUGGGAAAAAAAUUGGUAAUCAAAGAAAACCCCAUGAAUUUUCUAGUACACCUCAACAAAAUGGUAUUAUGGCUUACCACUAUCCUAAAUAAUUUUCUACUGAGGAGAUAAAUGGUCUAUUAUAUCAUGAAUAGAAUUGUGAUUGAGCCCCUAGUCAAGACAAUUUUUUUGUGAAUUCUAUUAAGGAAAGAAACAAAAUAAUAGUUACUUUUACUUUUUAGAUGCAAAUUCUUUACUUUGAGGACAUAGAAAAUUUUGAUUCUAGAAGUAAUGAAAAAACUAGAGUAUUGUGAAAAUUCACUUUUACAGUUUACAAUAAAUUAUAGGUUAGGAAACAACAAUUAAGAAUUUUAUAAAAGAAAUAGAAAAAAUUUUAGUUCAGGAUGAUGUGGAAUUAUUUGAAACUAAGGUUUAAGAUAUUCAAUUAGUGAUGAUGUGAUGCUCUCCGAACUAUAGGAAAAUAUAGAAAAGGAGAGGUUUUUAAGAGAAGGAAACUAUGUCAAGAUUCAUACAAUUAAUCAAAUUUUAGGGGAUUUUAAGAAAGGACUCUAAACUAGAUCAAGAUUUAAAAUUAAAAUAAUUGUGCAUUGAUUUCUAAAAUUUAGCCAAAAAAUGUUGAGUAAGCUUUAGAGAGUGAGAAUUAGAUUUGAUCACAAAAAAAGAGUUUAAUCAUUUUAGGUUGGUAAUAUUUGAACCUCACUCUCUAGGAUAUUCAAUAUGCUUGUCAUAGGAACAAAUUGGACUGUCAAAGAUACACCAACUUCACAUAAAUCUCGAAUAUGGAAUCUAAAAGCUAAUAUGUGUGUGUUUUACGUGGAUCAAACGAUGGCCCAAGCGUCGUUGGAUUGAUUUGAUGUCAAUAAUAAAGUUGCUUAUCCAUAAGAGAAGAAAAUGCAUUUCAAAUUUCAAAUCAGAUAGACAAAAGAAUGAAAUUUUUUGAAUCAAAAAAUAUAAAAAGUUGUUACCUACAUAUUCUAAAAAAUGGAAAUAUUUAGAAUUAAUUUUUUAAUAUCUAAUGACAGAGUCAAAGAAAGAAACCACUAGAGGAUGACACUUAUAACAAAAAAGAGGGUUUAGAAAAAAAGAACAUAUCUCUACAACAAUUUACAAUGUAUAUCUUUCAAAUUUCAUUCAUUAUGAACUUUAAUGAAGGACAUAAUAUUACACUUGAUCUUCUUAUGAUAUAAUGCUACAUUCAAUCUUCUUAUGACAUCAAUUUUAAAGAUUUAUACUCUCCAUCAGGCCCUAAGGUAAUUAUGUGACAAGGGCAGAGACAUUUAGGCAAAGGCAUAAAAUAUUUGUAGUCAUUUUUUGUCCUAAAAAAUUGUGGUACCUAAAGAGACUGAAUUAAAGUGGUUAAAAGGUUAAGUCCUUAAAUGAUAGUAUAUAUUUCCUAAAUAAAGUAGUGAAAUAUGAUAUAAAGGAUCUUGUGAAAUUGAAAGUAGUUAAGUGAGUAAUGAACUAGUAUAAAAAUUCUGAUUUUAUAAGUGAGAAAGAAGAAUCGUGAGAAUACCACAUAGAGAAAGAGAAAAUAUACAUAGAAGAAAAAAGAGAUGUUAGAGAACCCAUGUCAACAUAUUUAUCAAUAACGAAAAGGCACAAAUCAACAAAAAUCUAUAAACACUCAAUUCAACCCUCUCUUUUUGUAUUUCAUCUAUCAUGUUACUUUUUAUAAAUAAAGGAUCAAUUUAUUAGAAAUUUCAAGUCAUACUUUUCCCCUAAUUACACAUUUGAAUGAUUAAAUAUAAACAUGACAUCUUUUAAGGGCUUAGAUAUCAUUUUUUUUACUCCAAUAAUACAAUAAUUACACUGCUAACAUAUAUUUGAAGGUAUUAGUUUAUGCAUACUUGUAAGAGUCUUCACAUCAGCAUUCAACAUCAAUAAAUUACCAAAUUUUAAUACUUCUAGCGGAAUAGAUUAAUGAUUCAAAUAGUAUUCAAAGUAUCAUUAAUUUAAUUCCAAAGAAAUUGAUCAAAUCAUGAAUGGAAAAUAUUCAAAGUAUUUUUUUAAUUAAUAGACAUCAAGUAUAAUAUUUUAACUUUCAUCUCAAUACGUUACUUCAAUCAUUUGAAAAUUCUUAGAUGACUAGAUUAUGACUUUUUGGUAUCAUUUUAGUAAUUUUCAUCAAGUACAAUGAUGCUAAGGGAAGUAAUGAUUCCUAGUCAAUUUUCAAUCAUUAUAUUGUAUUUCAACUCAUGCAUGUCAAACAUAAUCAUUGAAAUAUCAUCUUAAUACUUAAUACAACUAAAAUCUAUUACAAAUAAUUUUAAAGUCAAUAUCAUUGAAUCAUAUGCCUAGUUCUUGCAGAAAGGAUAUGUUUUAGAAUUAUAAUCACAAUUUCUUUAAUUAUUUUUGUAUGCAUGUUUUUCCUUAUCAAAAAUUUUUUGAGACAAUUAAGACUCCUAAAUUAAAUAGAAUCCAUAAUAAUCAAAAUGGCGUGUUUUUGAGUAGUUGCUUGAACUAAAAAGCAAAGAUAAAUCUUAAAAGAGAAUGAAAAUUGAAUUAUUAUCAUCCUCCUUAAAUGUUAUAACAUAUUGGCCUUUAAAUAGUCUUUUGUCAAUUUUUAUUCUCUUAAAAAAUCUGAUUGAUGAACGAAUUUACAUUAAAUCAAAAUACUAUGAAACAUACUUUCUAAUAAUAUAGAUAUGGCAUUGUAUCCAUGCAGACUUUUAUUGGCUUAUUUUAAUUUGAACUUAAACUCAUUUAAUGACUUUCAACCUAUGCAAUCCAUAUUUUACUAUGGAGUCACAUGUACCACAUUAGAAAGUGCAUUUGAUUGCAUAGUUAACAUCUUUGAUAUGAUGAAUGACAAUUCAGUGCUAAUCAAAAUCAAAAAAUUUACCCAUAUCUACCAACUUAUCCUCAUGGUUCUUCUGAAUAUUCUACUUCUGCAAAAAAGAUAGUGAUUAAUUGACACUUACUAACUUAAUUUUACUAUGGAGCAUGAAAAAAUUUUUCUUCCUAAGUUCAUCAUUGCUAUCAUGAUGAAAACUCUCAGCCUUUUACACACUCACAACUUGUUUUAUAAGUUACUAUUUCCUUGAUCUACAUAGAAAAUCAAAAAUCUGGUCACAAAUACUGACUUUAGAUUGAAACUUGAUUGAUCACGUUGCCCAAUUUAUCUCACAAAGAUAUUCCUUCUGCUAGUCUACUUAAGCACUUUGUCAUUGAGCAUCUAUCAUUUUACCUAACCUAUGUCCAAUGCUGGCUUCACAAAGCUCUUAAAUGUUAAUGAUUAAAUCAAAGAUUAGGCAAAAGCUUUUGCCAAUAAUGUGAUGGACAUUAAGCAGUGAUUAAUUCUAGAAUUUUCUUUUUUUUUAAUAAAAAAUGAUGGAGAGGUUAUGCAUCUUGAGGGGAUCAAGCAUGUAUCAAGAAACUUUGUUUCUUUAUGACUGUUUGAUGUUUUCAUGUAUGGACCAAUUGUCUAAACUUCUGAAUUGUUGAUGUAAAAUUGUAUUCCCCUUUUCUUAAUUUAUCUUCUUUUGUUGUGAUUCCUAUGGUGUGUACUAAUUGUUGUACCUAGGAGUAGCAAUCCAAUCAUUGUGAGAAAAUUGGUGUGGUUGCUGAGAAUUCAUAAUAUUCAAAAAUCAUUGACAACCCAAAAGGAUGAAAUAUGACUAAUGGACUAAGUGAGAAAAAAAAUUAUACAGGGGAAAAUGGACUGAAAAUAUUAGUUGAAUUGUUUUUUGAUGUGCCAACAAGGGGACAUAAUGAACUAAAUAGUGAAAUGAAAAUACUGUUCUCAUUCAAUAAAAUUAGAAUAAAGAACUGAAAUGUGGAAUGAAACUUAUUUUCGUGCUUGAUGUGAGAAGCGAGAAUCAAGGUGAGUGGAUGAAAAUUAUCAUUGAGACAAGUGUUGAGAUUAUUCAGGUUUCAUUUCUUCCACUUGUUUGAACAUUUCCCCCAUAAAAUGGUGGAGAUUAUUCAUGUGAAUGAUAAUUUUAGGAUGUGAAAUCUGCGAAUUGCCUUAGUUUAACUAUCAAAAGGGCAAGGGUGGAAUCAGACAAAUGAUUUUUACAUUGGACCAUUGAGCCUCACAUAUGCUAGGAACUCAUGAAAAUUGUAAUUAAAAGUACUCAACGCAAUAAACAGUAAAUCAAGAAUUCAAAGAGUUCAAAUUGUCCUGAUUUUAUUUCCACUAAAGUGAAAAGUUAUUUCUAAAUUGUAUAAUUUAAUGUGAAAAAUAAUCUAUAUUUUAACUUGUGUUAAAGAAAGCAGGUCAAAUAAGGAAUCCAACAUAGCAGAUCUGAUGGUUUCGAAUUUUUAUGUAUUUUACAAGGUUUACCAACAUUUUCUUGCAUUAUCCGUCACAUGUGCAGUCCAAUACAGACCACUCAACUAAUUGUUGAGAUGCCUGUUCGGCCCAUUAAGCCCAGCAUAGAAAUAGGGCUUUCACCCAAAAAUGGGGCAUCAGGAAAGAUCAAAAGAUAGAGCACAGGAGUCUAUCUCUCUGCCCUCUUUCUGCUUACAGAAAUCUUCUAGAACCCAAGCUGCAAAUUCAAUGUCUCCAAGUUUCUGCAACUCCUGAUAGUUAUUUGCGGCUAAAUAUCUUUGAAAAGCUUCCUUACAAUCUUCUUCCUCAACAGCAAGAUUCAGCAUCCUAUUUGAAGGCAUGGGUAUGCCUCCGUAUUUCUUGAACUGCUAAUAAUUAUUUACCGCUAAAUAUCUUUGAAAAGCUUCCUCGCAUACUUCUUGCUCGACAGCAAGAUUCAACAUCCUAUUUAGAAAUAGGCGGUAGAAACAGCCUACUUCUGUUGGGUUUGAAUUUCUAAAGGCUCUCUAGGAUCACUUGUCUCAAGAUUUGGAGGCUAGAUAGAGCUUGAACAUCCAGAAAGGGGAGAAAACCCACAUGAAGAUAUAUCGUGCAAGGAAGAGAGUAUGAUCCCACAAAGCCGCCCCCACUUGAUCUGCUUAUUGGGCGAUAAAAAUAGAAUUUUCAUUCUCUUUGGGGGGCUCAUAUUUUAUUCUGGAUUCAAGCAACCAUUAUCAGUUCAAAGGACAACAUUUUGGAUCAUUGUGGAUUCAAGGAUCAUCAAAAUUAUUUAUUGUGGAUACAAGCCAAUGGGAUUUCGCAGUGAUUUACUUAUGUUGGUCCGUUGAACUUCAUCCCCCAAUUGACAGUUUUGUAUCCACUAAAUCAUGGUUGGUUUUUGAGGCAAGAGAUUUGUGUUUGGAGGUCAACAUCAAUCAGAAAGAAACGGUCGAGUGACGUGUCCUUGGCGAUUUCAUUAAAUGGACGAUAGAAAACACAGCUUUUGUUUGAGAUCUUCGUGAGAUUAUUCAUUCUGAUGUUCUUCAAAAUGUUUGGUUAGUGGGCUUUUUGGUAGCUACACAUGCAUCACUAUUGCCCACGUUCCUAAGAUUCCUGAGAGAUUCAGGCUCUUCUUCUUCAUGCGCCAUAAAUGGGAGGUUAACGAAUGCUGCAGCCUGGGCCCAGACUAGCCAGGGGAGUGCCAAUAGUGAUCACCGGCAGGAGGAAGAACAUUAACAGUUGAACAUCAAAGACGGGGGCGUAAAUGGGCAGGGAACAGUGGGGUGGAUAAAUGCGCUGCCACCUGUGGUCCAUGUGGACUACCACGUGGGUUUCCGAGCCGUUGUGAUGCUAUUUCCUUCAUUUAUUUCUUUAAGGGUCGUUAUUUCUCUAGGAGCUCAAGGCGACUCCCCGUGAGAAGAUGAUUUCUGUUCCAAUGGCUCUGCGAUGCGGGAACAGAUGACGAGGGGCGUCCUUCGAUUCAUUCGGCGAGAGAUCUCGACCGAUCACACUCGAACAGAAGUAAAAUGCCAUCCUUUUCAGGUACUAGAUACAAAAAAGAAGCUAAUUUUGCUCUUCUUCUGGGAAGAAAACAGAGACUCAGCUGUCUCCCCUCGUUGGUUUUCCCCAGGACAAGGGGGAAGUGAGCUGAAAACGCGCCUCCAGGACGAACACCAUGUACACGAUGAAGGAAUUGGGCAGGAGAACCCGCAGCCGGAGAGGGGAGAGGGAGAGAGGAGAGAGGAGAGAUUUCUGACCUUUCUCGUAUCCCUCGUCCUGUUCGUCGUGGUUGCUGGUUCUCGUCGUCGAGGGGGGUUUGCUUCGGACAACCCACCCUGGCUGAUCUUGUGUUGUGGUUUUCGAAGAAUUUGAAGAAAUGGAAGAGCAGGGAUCUGUCCACGGAAUGAAAAAACGGGACAUGUUCAGGGCUCCACGUCGUCCCAGCUGAGGUCCCCGCCGCCUCCGGUGACGACGAUGGCUGUGCCGUUGUUGAAGGCGGGGCACUGGUAGGACGGCCGAGAUCCGUCGCCGCCGGCGCUGGCGGGGCAUCCGGAGGGCCCCACGGGCAGCGGUGCCAUGCAGUUGUAGGAUAGGCAGACCGUCACCCCGUCCGGAAGGGGCGGCGAGACGGCGGCGCCGGCCACACCGCCGCCGGGAAUCGGAAGUGGAGAGUCGAGUCCGGAGAGGUAGUUGUGCUGAGCAUAGAGCGUCGUCAUGGUGCCCGCGUAGAGGCUGCGAACGAACUCCGACGGCAGGGUCCCCGUCAGACGGUUGUAGUUCACGAAGAGGCUGCCGGCCGCCGCCAGACCCCCCGGAAGGGGACCCGUCAGCUGAUUGUGGCUCAGGUCCACCGUCCACUUCGCGAUGGCUCCCGGCUCGACGGGCUCCGGUAUAGGGCCCGACAAGCUGUUCCGCUGCAGCAAGAGCACCGCCAAUGGCGGUGGCACCUCCUCCUCCGGGGGGCGCCGUGGAUUGAAGAGGGCACUGGGUACGGGACCGGAGAAGCCGUUCAUGGAAAGGUCGAGAAAAGCGAGGUCGGGAAAUGAGGCGUCGAGGGCUUCGAGGGGACCCGACAUUGCGUUGUUGGAGACGGAGAUGUAGUGGAGAGUGGCCGGGAGAGGGCGAGGAAGAGGUCCGGUGAGGUUGUUCUCGCGGAGGUCGAGAUGGAGGAGCGGGACGGCGACAGGGGGGAUUUCCCCGGAGAGACCGCCGUUGGCGGCGAGGAUUACGACCCGGAGGCUGGGUAGAGCGAGGAGGGCCGGGGGAAUGGCACCGGAGAGGCGAUUGUGGCUGAGAUCGAGCGUGUGGAGGCUGGGGAGAACCCCUAAGGAGGCCGGGAUGGGGCCGGAUAGAAGGUUUCCGCUCAAGGAAAGGAGGCGGAGCGAGGGCAGGCGGGCUCCGCCGAGCGCCUCGGGGAUGGGCCCGGAGACGCGGCCGGGGGAGAGGACGAGCUGGGUGAGAAGCGUGAGGUUGGCAAGGGAGGGUGGAAGCGUCCCGGCGAGGCCCGGAGAUCCUGCAGAACCGGCAGAUCCGAGGGUGAGAGACGUCACCCGGAGGGUCGCAUCGUCGUCGGCAGGGGAGCAGACGACGCCGGCGAAGGAGGAGCAGGCGUCGGAGGCGGCAGACGGUGAAUCCAAGCGCCACGAGGAGAAGAAGCCCGAGCCGGGGAGGUCGCGGAGGCUCUGUCUGAGGUCUAUGAGCACAUCAAGGUCCCCGCUGGUCAGACGAGCACCAAGAGCCAGCGUCUCCUGCGGCCGCUGCUGCGCGGUGGCCAACCAGGCCCCUCGCGAGACCAAGAUCACGGAGAGUAAGAGCGAGAGAAGGCUCGCCAUGGCAGCGUGAAGUCGCCCGCAGCGCGAUGGGGUCCGCGAGAGGAUUCUCUCUCCCACAGGAAGCCGGCGGAGAUGGGCGCGCGCGAGAAAUGUCGGCCAAAACAAAGGGCAGCCGCGCUCAGUCACAGGCUUUGUAAAGGCGCGUUCUUGCCAGCAGGUGUGGGGGCGGGUUGGCUCCCGUUGCCUAAUCCUCCUCUGCGUCACUAGCGUAGCAGCGCGGCCGCAAUGAUGGCUCUCACAGGGGGGAGGGGGGGUUUACGGUCGUCGUACAGCGGGACGAGGGGGCACGUGGUGGAAGUUGGACGGACGCCGAAUGGUCCUGCGCCGUUGCAUGUUUCCAUGUCCCUUCUGUUGCGUGACGACACGGCCAACUGGCCGAGAAAAGACAAGGCAUGCUUGCUUGCUUGCCUCGCCUCGAUUCCUUUGCCCGGGCCGACUCCCCGGCGGCUUGCACACGCGGCACGGGGGUUUCUGCUGCCCAGGUUAGGUUCCGCGCUUGGAGAAGAGGUGGGUGAACAGCGACACACAGAGGGGUGGAGGGGCCGGCCUUCCGGCCAGGGAAUGGAUGUCCCGGCAAGAACAGGGAGAAUCUGUGGAGCCGACGCCCGCCCGACGCGGGCUCGCCCGGCGCGCAAUGCUAGCAACUGCAGCAGGAAUUGGGGAACUAAGCCAGAACGGAGCUCGAGCUCCCUCCCGAGGGAGGUCUCGCCGGAAUUUCCAAGAGGGGAUCUUGGAAAGAACUCAAAUAUUGGAAGUCCCUUGGAGGCGGGGGGCCGGUCGCCGACAGGCCUUUUCGAACUCGCGCUUCAAAAUAUAUCAAAGUUGGAUUUGUUGGAACCGACUUGACGGUCUCAAGCUCUUUUCACUCCCUCGUCACUGCUACUGCAUAGAUUAUGCCGUGCUCCGUCCUUCCUUGACGGGGCCUCCCCUGCCCUCUUCCCUCCCCUCGACUGGCGAUGCACGGCUGCGCGCCGCCGGCCAUGGCAUCCUCCGAGCCCUUCCCUACCCGGCCAGCUCGGUGGAGAAGCGCCAUUUGCGGCGGCGUGUCUGGGCUUCUCCAGUAGUCAAGCCUGUUGGGGUUCAGCUUUGUUGGCUCUCGCUCGGACCAGGGUCAAACUGGGUCCGACUCCACCUAAUAUUUCACUCAAUAUUCUACUUCUAUGCAGAUGGGUUGGUGCGACCCAUCAUAAAUAAUUAACCCGCUUGCUCAAAUCUGCUCCUUGCGGAAGUCGAACCAGCCCGACCUUAAUAAAAUACGGCCGACCGAUCUGGUGAUAAAAUACGGCCGACCGAUCUUUACUAUUCUUAGGUGCAUAGUAGCAUGUGCUAACGGCCAUAUUCCACGGCUGCCUAGGCUGCUAACAUAUUGCUUUGUUCUUAGGCACAAAUCCUAACCCAGGUUUGAAGUAACGGAGACUGAUUUUAUUGUUUUACAUGCUCUGAGGGCAUUGGUCCAACGGUGGCUGGUAAUGACGCUCUAACAUACGCGAAGACAGAGAAACUUAGCAAGCUCUGUCUGGGAGGGGAAUCACUCCUGGAUGAUGAUUUGAGUGGGUUAAACUGUUCUUAAAAAAAAAAAUGGUAGAACGCAAUGAGAAAAUAUCGGCAGCAUCAAAUAAGUUUAAGGAAAAAUCGGAAAAGUUUUGCUAUAAUGGGUCCCAGAUAAGUGUAAACGUCAGAAAAGCUUUGGUAGUUUUGCCGACAGUCACCGCUGUUCAUCGAUUUGUACUCCAUUCAAGGUAAAACCGGAAAUGAAGAACAACGAUGCGAGCUGGUGAAUAAACUCUGUUAUGGUAUGAACCCCAACAUGGCUAUUAAAUGAGCAUUCUUAUUGAGGAUAAGAUAUCCUAUUAUUGAGGGCAGCCCCAACAUGGCUGUUAGCUCGAAUCAUUAACAAAAAUGUCGUGGAUGUCACUCCCCUGGUCCCGGUGAUAUUUAUGCCUGUCUCUCUCCCCACCAAAGUGUCUGGAACUUUUGGCAUAUGACAAUAGCUCGUGGGCCUGCCUAUCUCAUCUUUGGUUGGAUCACUCUCCGCAAUUCUCGCGGAAGGCUCUUCUUCUUCCUCGACGUCAGUAUACUCUCAUCUCUGCCAGACGGCUCUCCGAACACCGACAGCGGCGAUAAAUGCGAAUAGGGAGUUCUCAGCGCAUUGCUUGUUAAUACCCCAUGUGGGGUUAAAACGUUUGGAAGAACGCGGUUGUGUGAGUAACUCACAGUAGUGGUGCACUGACGAGAGGAGUUACUCGCCUGCAUGGAUCCUCAUCAUGUGGGCAUUUAAGCGCUGCCGCUGCUACUGCCAUCGUAAAGGACCUGACGGCAGGCCGCCGUUCAAGGGCUCCGACCAGUCGGUCGCCGAGCAUAGAUGCUGAGACGCGUAUUGUUUUCUGUACUUUGCCUGGAUGUGAAUUGUGGCCGUCACCGCAGAAGAAAAUUCGCCGUUUCAGCCUCCCAAGCCUGAAAACUUGACGGCGUACGUAAAGCGCCGCCGGUGGAUCAAGAAUGGAGCAAGUCUUAAAGGUCAACUGAGGAGUCAGCGUGGCUGUCAACGACAACGAGGCGAACGUUUGAAGGGGGUGAAGGGGGAGAAGGGGGGGACCUUGUUGAGUGAGCAGACAACCACAACGGUCUUCAUAUUAAAUGCCAUCACAUGAUCCGCUCUUGGCGCGAUGUAUGAACUUAUAGCCAUCAUUGCUUGCCGGUCACUCUCGCAAGUACCCCCCGGCACAAGAUCAGUCAGUCUUUCGGCUCUUCCCUUUCCCACCCUGCCGACAAGGGAGAUAAGGCCACGAACAUGCAUCAUGAAACUCUCUCUCUCUCUCUCUCUCUCUCUCUCUCUCUCUCUAUCGCUGGUAUCUAUUCAUCUUUAUCCCUGCAUCUCAUCUCAGUCCGAGUCUCCUCAAGGAAGGCCACACACAUCUCUCUCUUUCUCCCUUCAAAUCCCUCUCUCUCUAUCUAUACAGGUCAACGUGCCGACGCCGGCUUGUCUUCUACUCGUCAAGUGCGAGUUCAGAUGGGGAGGGGAUCUUAAUGAAACCUACAGAGUUCAGAACGCUUCGUGCUUCUUCGGGUUGCCUCUAAAUACUGGAGACAGCGACCUCAGUAAAUGCCAAAACGGUGUAGUAAUUGCACAAUGGAAGAGCCGAGCAGGGUCACUGCUCUUCUUCAUGUUGCUGACAACUGACGCGGGGUUCUCUUCGAUUUUUCUUCGUCUUCUUUCUUCGUAGCAUGACAUCACUCAUAAUGGUCGUCACCUCUCUCUCUCUCUCUCUCUGCCGUUUUUUCGUAGGCGGUGGUAUAAACCGUCAGUUGCUGAAGAGUUCCCUAAAAUAGGAUCAGAGUUGACUCGCACCGAAGUGUCUACGCCCACCUCAAAGCCUGAUAUCGUUGACUACAGAGAGUUUAACCAAGUAUAAGCCUGAAACUUCAGAAUUUUAGGUACGAUACCAACUGUCUCCCUACUGCUGCACUGCAGGCUUCCUGUUCGUCGACCCUACUCCAAAUUCGCAGCUGACAUGGCCCAGCUAAGACGCCUCGAAUACGGCAGGUAGUUUCGUACGGAGAGAGUACCUCUUACCAUUGCCAAUGGACUGAGUAGGCUCAUAGCUCAGCUUCGGACCGGACUUGGGUUUCUUCGUGCGCCAGGGUCUAGAAAAAUCAGGUCCUAGAAUAAGAGUAGGCUCUCCAAGGAACUGUAGGGGAGCCAUCAGCCUGCCUCCGCUUGCCCGACUCUAGAACGUGCUCUGUUGCCUAAGUGGAGACCCCCCCCGCCUCCUGCCGCGUAACCCGCGUUGUCUCCAACAUCGGCGGCUGAUAAUCCGCCUGCAUGGUGGGCUCUCCCAGGGAGGAGGAGGAGGGAAGGGGGGGAGACGCGUCGCGCAGAGUUUCACUUCAAUUCAAAAAAAUAAAUUUCAAGACUUGUGAAGAAAUUAAGGGGGGGUAGACUCGGAACGGUAAUGGUUUUGAACGGCUAAAUUGUAUUUAAUGUUCGCUAAUAAUCGAUUUCAUUCGUUCGCUGCGGCACAAGGCGAAAGAAGGGCUGGAAGCGUGAUGGACGCACGUAUCCGGGCCAUCGUCGACGCCAUCCACGCCAGCCCCUCCCAGGCUGUCAUCUACCUCGCCGGAGGUGCCUCUCAGGUGUGUCGGUCUCUCGUUCUCUGCUUCUUAGUUCCCCUCCCUGCCGCCGAUUCCCGACAACUGCAGAAUUCUGAAAAUGGCUGUUUUUUCGAUUGCUGCCUCCAGGCGCUCGGGUGGCUGCUGUCUGUUCCAGGAGCUUCUAACACCGUUCUCGAGGCUUUGGUUCCCUACUCCAAGACCUCCAUGUCCCAACUCCUCGGGAAGGUAACUCGUCGUCUCCUUCCCUAUGAAUAAUUUUCCCUAUUCGGCAUCUUCUUUCAUCUCGAACCCCGACAGCUUGUUUGCGUAUCCGUUUUAGUUUUCUCCUUUCGAUAUGUUCGGCCUGUUGUUCCAUAUUUAUCUGCCUCUUACCCGAGGAACAUUCAAACUCUGGAAUGUGGUGCGUCUGAUGGAAAGAUAAAAAGAAUCGUUUGUCCGACUACGUUUUGAUGGGGGAAAGUUUGUGAAUUAUUUAUUGAUUGAAUGUCUUGGGAUCGAACUCAACUAUAGCCUGAUAUGGCGAGAAUGUUUAUGCAACCCUGCCAAGUUUGAAUACACCUGAACCAUGUUUGGUUCCUUCGGAGUCAUUAGAUGCAACCUCUCGUUUGCAGGAGGAUGCUUUUUCCUUGAUCUUCUCAGUCUUAUUUUCUAUUAGUGGCUUCGAUCCAUUUCAAAGAGGUGGUCAUCUCAUGCAUCACAAACUUUAAGGUAUUUUGGUUAGGCAUCAGGCCUAGCUUUUCUCCCUAAACCGCCAUUGAUAGUCCACUCCAUUAGGAAAUGCAAAUCAGGCUGUGUCUUAUUGAUAUGGUGCAUCACUGGUUCCCUGGCCCAUUUUGUCUCACAAACAGCAUACAGUAAGUUUUAAACUAAAAUAGCAAAAAUAACGGACGAAUAUCUGAACAAGAAUAAAUUUCAAAGAGUGAAAACCUUACCAUAACCCGCAAUACAAACAGGGAGGAUGAAGAAAACAAAUGCUAUGGAAAACCUUACUACAUCAUCUUCUAAUUCUUUUUUAAACCAAGAAUAUUAAAAAAUUGCUUCUUUACUUGUUCUAUACUUUUAAUGUAUUAUUGAGUACCUCAGGUGGAUCCUAUCUCUGAAAACUGCAUUUAAGGUUUACAGUCUAGUCGUGUGCUACCUUAUAAUACUUGCUGGUUCACUUUAUUCAUAUGGGUUGGAUUUACAUCACUGAGGCACUCUUUGACUUAUGGAAGUUGUCCCUAGUAAAGCCCUAAACAUAGGUUCUUCUGAUCCAUAUCUCCUUCUUCACAAGUUUUGAUGUCUUAGCAAGGCCUGUGCAUAUAGUUUAAAAAUAUGUAUACUGAUAACUGGGUUAUGUUAUCACCAAACCAAUUUUAGAGCUCAGAAAAAGAGUUAUCUAAAAGUAAUAUGAAAGAUAUCUACCACUUUUGAGUUUAGAAUUCCUCUUUGUCACAUGACUGCAACAUUUUUUAUUAAAGAGGAUUGUUUUCUUCUAUCAAACCCAAGAAACGACAGAGAGCAUAAAAAAAAUGAAAGAGUAAAUAUGAAGAUUUCAUGUUAUUGCAUAUUUGAAAUCACACUUCUCUGUGUGGCUUAUAUCUUGAACUAAGCACAGAUUUCUGAUGUUAAAAGGAACUGCAUUAUUGUCUUGUUUUAGCAUAAGCCUUAAAAAUUCUCACAUUAUUGCGACCAUUUUGGUAUCUUAGCUCAGCUUAAUCACCUUUGUAGGAAGUACCCAGUUUCUUUAGGACAUGAUGAUUUGAUGCUAAACUAGGUCUAGUUUCUGUUCUUCUAAGAGGCUGGAAACAUAUAUAUUCUUGUACAAGGUGUUUCUAUUCCCGUGUGUUACUGCUGAGAAAUGAAGGCUAUCAAAUCCUGAGAGGACUGCUACAGAGAUCAACUAUGAAAAAUGUAUGAUCUAUUCAUGUACAAAGGCAGGUGUAUCUUCUUGGUUAAGAGUUCAGACAACAGUAUCUCCUAGGAUUAGGGUCAAUUAGGGGUAAUGAAAGGAUCUUAGAUUUAUGAAGAAACGACAACAAGAAAGAUCUGAUAUCUUUGCAUAAUCUUCUCAGUUAAUAUAAUAUAGCAGAGGUAAGGGAUGGUACUAAUGCUUUCCAAUCGACAGAUACUGUGUUUUCCUCAUUCAAUUUUAUUUGACGUCAGUACUUUUUGUCUUGUGGGAAUAUAUAGUUUAGCUAAUUGUAACCUGAAAUGAAUUUUCUUCUGUUGGGAGCUCACUGUUACAGAACUUCAUAGAAGUGACUAUCAGCUCAUGUACUGGAGCACUCCAUAGAACUGCUAGAUUUUAGACAAUAGGCAACAUGUUAUAAUGAUUGGAUCCCGCCUCAUCUCUUCACGAGGUUAAAUUGCACAACCAUGCUACCAGCAAGGUAGUCUACUCAACAUGUGAAUAGUGCAUAUUUUUAAAAAGGCUAUUUCUGGUCCAAAACUAUGUUGACUGAAAUUUUGGAACACUUUCUAUGGGGGCUCAUGUCAAACACCACGACAAAAGGAAAGCUUAUCCAUAGUCAUGGGACCAUCUAUUUUAUACAGGAAAACACAAGAUUCUGGGGGAAGACUCAAUAUGGUCAUGACAAUAGAUGAAAUAGUAUCAUUGCACUGGGGCGAUCUAUUUCAGUAUCUUUUCUGUAGUGUAUGUCAUAUAGUUUCAUUUUAGAUUAUUACUAAGUUACAUUACAAUGUGACCAUACUUUAGUUCACUUGCUGUUCAAGUUCUUGGUCAAGUAUUGUAACCUGCCAAUAGAAUUUACCCAUUCAAUUCAGUGGUCUGGGUCAGGUGAAGAUUGACUGUCUUGAUUGGACCAUAUGUUGUGGUGUAAUGUUUUCAUGUGAACUAUCAAAUAAUCCCCCUCUACAAUGGUCUUGGGUUUUUCUUCAUAUUGAAUCCCUCUGUAACCUCCCAUGUCCUCUAUAUGUUACAGGCCCGUUGGCAAAGCUUAUUGUACAAAUUAUCAUAUUAUUUCACCAGAAAAACACUGUUAAAAUGGCUGAAAUUGCAAUAUAUCAUAAAAAUUAAGCUUAAUGACUAGGGUCGUUAGCUCACUGCCAAAUCUCUAACUCUGCAUACAGAUGGUAAGAAAUACGGAGUUCUGCAAUUAACCCUUAUACCUUUCACCAAUUCUUCAGUUUGUAUGUUGCUUGUAUGUAUUUACCAUCAGUUGUCAAUCUUUCAGCAGAAGCAAGGAGCUCAUUCUACAGUACUCAGAGAAAUAACCCUAAGAAGAUAAUAUUAUAAGCUGAUUGCUGUGUUAAUCAUUCUAUGAGUAUGGUGUUCUGAAAAACAGUCAGUCUCUUUUGGUAUCAUCAUAAGGCAUGCAAGUAAAAUAUCUUGCAAUUUAUUUCUCUCUUUCGUCAAUGAUCAUCCAAGAGGAGAGAACAGAGGUGGCAUUUUCUAGCCAUAGUAUUUUCUGUUGUUUUUUUCUUCUGCACUUUGUUUCUGGACGGCAACAUUGGCCUUUGUCGCCACUUUCAACAUAAUUCUGUCAUAGACUGCUUUGAAAUAAGAAGUCACAAAAAGAGCAAGCCGUUAGAUUAUUGCCUAUCGAAGUUUGUUCGCAAUAUCAUUAACACUUGCAUAGCAUUAGUUAAGAUGAUCUUCAGCAUAACUUUUUUGAUUUAUCAUCUAUUUCCAUCAUGUCUUUCUUUUUACCUUCACUUCCUUGGAUUAUCCCAUGAUUUUUUUCCUUUAUUAUUCUAAUAUUGCAUCUCUUUUUGUUGAUGUAUGCCCUUUUCUUUAAGCUUGCAUUCCUUCAAAAUGACUGCCCAAUGGUUCUUUAAAUAUUUUUUUAUUUUUCUCCCUCGUCAGUUUGAUUCUGCCAGUCUGCUCCUAAUUUUAUCUCUUCAGGCCAGUCUAAUUUGCAAAUUUAUAGCAAAACAGUAUGUGGGUGAAGGUUAUGUCUUUCUGUGGGCAUUUUAUUCGUUCUUAUUCACAGACAAGUACAGACAUACUGGACAACAUAGAAAGUAGAAGAAAUCUAAGGUCUCAUGCCAUUAAAAUCAUGCAUCAUUAAUAAAGUUUACUUUAUUCAGUUGGCUGAAAAAUAUGAUAGACGUUGACUUGGGUAUGUGUAAAUUGCCAAAGAAAAUGAUGAUGUUAAUCAGUAACUUUGAAUGAUAAAUUCUGAUAAUAGAAAGUGGUUGGUCGUGGUAACUUAAAUGAAAGGAUUUCAAUGUUACAUAUUGUAUGUGGGAUUUGUUACUCUGUUUCCUACGUAAUGAAUUUUAGGUUCCUGCGCAUUUCACUAGCCAAGAAGUUGUAGAAGAAAUGGCAAUGUUGGCCUACAAUCGUGCAUUGAAGCUGUCUAGACCAGGUUCUUGUUCUUCAAUGGUUUUCUAUAACACUAAAUCAUAACAGUGUUUUUCUACUUCAGUUAUCUGCUUCAUUCAUCCUUUCAUACCUUUCGUUUAUCUGAUAUCAAACGGAGUUGGCUAAAGUUUCAUUCUUUUGGCUUCAAAUGAAUUUCUCCUUGAAGGCAUUGUUGUUUAGAUUUUUUUGAAGUGAUGUUACAAUAUUGAAUAAGUUCUUAAUUCAUUAGUUUCAAUUUCAUCAUGUUGAUAGAAAAAGGGGAUGAGAAGACACCAUAGAUGUGGAGAUGGCCAGUUUUUCGAUGAGAAGACACUUGUACACCUGGUACAAGUGUGCUUAGGAUACAAAAUUAAAGAUAAAAUAGAAAGACAGAAACACCCUCAUGUUCUUGGCAUUUUCUCUCGAUAAAAUUAUGGAUACUUAUCAUGUUGACCUUGCACAAUGUGUGUUGAAGUCACCUUGUGUAAAUCUGUCAAUCUAAAUAACUAAACAUUGGCCAUUUUGUUGAGGCAGAGAUAGGCAGUGGAAGACUAGCACCAAAAAAGGGAGAGUACAGGAGGAGGAAGAGAUAAAAUGAGAGAAUAUAAAUAGUCUUACCAUGGGCUGUAAGGCCCUUGGUACUUAUACAUAAACCCUUAGAGGUAAAAUCAUAAAUGAUAGAAAAUAAAUAGAGAAACAGAAGGGGGAAUAUAUCUGACAACACUCCCCCUCAAGUUGGUGAAUGGAUGUCAUCCAUGCCCAGCUUGCCACAUAGUUCGUAGAAGCAUAAUGAGGAGAGGUCCUUCAUGAAGAUGUAUGCCUGCUGUUGAGUAGAUGGGAUAUAUGGAGUAAAGAAAUCUCCUGUCUUGAGUUUUUCCUUAAUAAAGUGGUGAUCCACUUCGACGUGCUUCAUGUGGUCAUGCUAAACUAGAUCAUGGGUGAUGUUGAUGACUAAUUUUUUGUCUCAUAAUAGUUGAACUAGAUGAAUGUAUGGAAGUCCAAUUUCAGUCAAUAGUUACUUGAUCUAAAUAGCUUCACACAGACCUUGAACCAUUGCUUGGAACUUAGCCUUUGCACUUGACCAAGCAAGAAUUAGUGAGCUUUACUGACUCUACUUUUAUUUUUUUUCACCCUAAAGGAAUGAUUUAUUUGGGUUCAAUGGCUUUGAUAUUCUACUUUAUGGGUAGAAAAGAUACCCGAACAUUUUUUUUCUUUAUCUACAGGAAAUAGUGAUGUAGUUUCCAUUUGCCAUCAUGAGAUCAACCUCAAUAAGGAUCAUCUUUCUGCCAGAAUAUCUAUUUAAGAACUAUUUAAAUAUUUUUUGGCUGUCAUUAUAUUCAUUCUCUUUCAUAAUCUAUGGAAGGUGCAUUAGCUGGUGGUGGAACAACGAUCAAUUUAUGAGCCAGCAUAAUCUGUGUCCGUGUUGACCUCCAGGCAGAGUUGAGCAUCCUGCCAGAAGAGUAUCUUGUGGCCCACCGUACCUUUGAGGUAACAAUGUGUACGAGUGGCAGCAUGGAGGUGAGGUGCUUGAGGAGCAUGCAUGAAUUGACUCAAAAUGUUGAUCGUGUAGGCAAUGUUGGGUCGAGGGUAGGUGAGAUAGAUGAGCUUGCCGACCAACUUCUGAUAAGACCCUUGAUCAAUAGGUUCCGUAUUUGCAACAUCUACCAAGCGAUGAUUAGUUUUGAAUGAAAGUAUCCAGUGGUUGCGAAGCUGAUUUGUCAAGUUCUUGAAGAAGGUCUAGUGUACUUAUACUAGCAGAUAAAGAUACCCACAACACUAUAAGCCACUUCUAGUCCCAAAAAAUACUACAGUAAGCCCAGAUGUUAGAUCUCAAAUACCAAGGCCAAUCAGUGAGCAAGAGAUUGAGCCUCAAUAGUGUCGCUCUUGGUGAUGAUGAUAUUGUCAACAUAUAUUAAGAGGAGAGUGACUCCCCCUAACAAGGAAUGGUGAUAGAACAUAGUAUGAUCAUCAUUACUUCGUUGAUAACCAAAAGACAUUAUCAAGAUGGUGAAGUGACCAAACUAGGAGGGAGGUGACUAUUGAGGCAGUAGAGCACCUUGUUGAGCUGACAAACAACUAGAGUUGACAAGGAGAUCCAGUAUCCAGGAGGAAGUGUCAUAUAUAUAUCCUCUUGAAGGUCCCCUUACAAGAAGACAUUCUUGAUGUCGAAUUGCUGCAGGGCCCAGUCAAAGUGAUGAGCCAAAGUAAGGAAAAUACAGAUUGUGUUCAUCUUGGCUACUAGGGCAGAUGUCUCCUGAUAAUCAAUACCAUAUUAUUGAGUAUAACUAUUGGCAACCAAAUGAGCUUUGUAAUACUCCACGAAGCCAUCAGAUUGAUACUUCAUGGUAUACACUCAUUUGUAGCCAACAACAUGUUGUCUCAUAGGAAGAACAUGUUAGCAUCAGGUUUAAUUUUUCUCCAAAGCCAGGAGCUCCUUCGCCAUAGCUUGAUGCCACUCAAGAGUGUUUGGAGCUUCAUUCAUGGUGCGAGAGAUAGAAACAGUGUCAAGGGGCAUGAGGAAGGCAUGAUAGGAGGGAGAAAGGCGAUGGUAGGAGAGGUAAUGUGCCAAGGGUUCAAGAAUUUGAGGAGGCUGGGGGGGAGUAGGGUGAGAAAUUGGGACAGAAGAGAUGGGUGGACUCAAGUCAGAAGUGGUGGUGGACUCAGGCCAAAGACUGUAGGUAGAUGAGGGGCACAUUGGAUGUAGACUUGGCGACCAAAUUGAUGCAGUGGUUAGGGGUGGACAGAAGGUUCAGAGGCUGGGAGGGUUUCAGAGGGAGCAGAAGGUUUAGAUGUUUUGUUGUAUCAUGUUUUUCUGUAUUUUUUGAUAUUUUUGCGUACCUUGAAAUUGCAAUAUAACUUCAUGUACAACUUCAUUCAGACAUCUUGGAUAAAAUCUUAACCCAUAGGUACCUAUCAAUUUUAUGAGCUAUUGCAUAAUAUUUUGUUUUUGCACUUGAUGAGACUCACAAAAUUUGCAUCCCUUCUCAAAGAGUAUAUCUCCUAUGAUCUUGAGUACCACAAUCCAUUACUUAGAACUAACUGAUUUAGUAUAUCCUAACAUUCUUCCUAUACCUUACCCAACAAGACCUUUUAUACGAUUUAGAAGUAGUCAAUCCCUUUUCUUUGCAAGAAUAUGAAUGAAGUUUAUUUUGUGACCCCAGUGUAGAAUCCUAAUUCACCCUCCUUUUGAUUCCUAUAAUGACUUGGGACCAACAUUAGGUAGAUGAUCAUCAAGCUGAAUGGCUCCUUUCUCAGUGAUAAUAUCUUUUUUUCUUUUCAUAGUAAUCGCCUUUUUGAACUUCAGUUGAAGGAAUAUGUAGAAAACAACGCAGAGGUACUUAUCAUAUGGUUUGCAGCUUUAAAGUUGAUAACCAAAAGUAAUGAUAAGAUGCAUAGUAGCAUUGAGGGCAGAUUUGUUUAAGAGUAGUUUGAAGUAAAGGUUUGGUGGCGCCCUUAUAAAAUUUUAUUCAAGUUUGAGUCAAUCUUCUGUUUGAAGCUUGGUCAGGAUGUUAAUGAAUGAAAUAAGUUAAGUAUUCAUUGGCCGAUGCAUACAGAAAAUAACUUAUGGUGUAUGCAAAAUUUGAGGUAGAACUUGAUUUUUGAUCCCUGACAUUAAAGUAUCAGCACUUGUGUAAAGUGUCAACUGAUGAAAACUAAGUGUGAACAUUUGAGGCAAAAUAGAAACUGGAAAAAAGCAGGGAGAAGCGACCCCUAUACCUUAGGUGUUGACACUUGGAUAUGUGUAUGAUAUAAAGCUCAAAAUUGUCAGCAUGUAUAUAAAGAAGAAAAAUAAGUUUCGAAGGUGAACCCAUCAUGAGGGGGGAUCGUCACACAAUUAUAGCUUGUUGACUAACAGAUUGACUGCUAGCUUUUCCGAGUUGAAUUUCCAAUUUUUACAUCACCAUGCUUUGGCUUGAUUUAGUUUACCUAUCCCUAGUUUAUUACAAUAAUGACCGUAAACUUAGGAAAUAUAUGCUAAAUCUUUAAAAGAAGGGCUCUUGGGUUAUUGUUUACAACACUAUUAUGUUUUUGAAGUUCAUGGGCUUCCUAAUGAUUGUCAACUUUAUGCAACUUUAUGUUCUCUUUUCCUUGGCUUUAUUUUUUUCCUUUCUUUCUAAUGUUUGCAAUACGUUCCUUUUUUGGUUAAAGCACCUUUUUUCUGACCGUGUGUUGCCAUAUAUCAUGUAUUUCAGUUCUGAGCUGAUGAACAAGGGAUACCUUGUUUUCCCAGAAAAUCUCUUUUUGAAGCUUCCACGCCUCACAUCUGUCUUCAUAGAAUCAUGCUAACAGAGAUAAUUAACUCGGAUGUCAUAAUGCUGUUUUUGGGAAGCCACUCGUCAUCUUUCAAUUCUUCUUACUUUGGAUAUACAUCUUCCUAUUUAUGUAUCCUUAUUUACCAUAUAUAUUGCUGAAAUGAUAGUCUGCCAUAACCCAGUGCCAACAGACGACAUGCUAUUAAUAACACUGGAGUUUCUAGAUUAUCAAGGUUCCCAUCACACCAUUUAACGUGAAACUCUGUCCUCAAGAACAGUCAGCGCUUGUUGAUGAAAGAAGAGGGUGAUACAACCUGUGGCAGGCCAUUGGAAAACCUUUAGCCUAAUCGGCCUAGAAGACAGGGCAAAUAGGACCAGCCUUGACCCCUUCGCCCUGAGUGAGUAAGUUGCUAAAUUGUGGGCAGUACACAAUUAGCAGUGGAAAGAAAUAAGAUAAAGUUGUCCCCUUGGAUGGAAACUCUGGCAGUCAAAAACUAAAAAAGAGAGAGGAAGGCAUGAUGGCCCUCUUGAUCUUGAUGCUACAAUGUGUCUCAAACUCCCUCCUUGAUAUGUUUUUGUUACACUUCUUCCUUAAUCCAUCAAGGCAAAUCUUCUGAUUCCAUUUUCAUUGAAAAGGAAAAGAUGAAGACUCUAAAUGAGAGGUAACGAGCGAAAAAAUAGCAUGCCUCUUGCUUAUAUGUUGGGUCGCAUCUAGCUUCUAUUACUAGUUUUAAUUCCUAUACUGUGGCGGCUUAUAACUUGCACCUCAUUCCGUAUCCCACGAUCACCUAGUAUGUCAAAAGCCUAGGAACUUCUUAAAAUUUCUUGAAACACGGACCCAAUCUUUUUAUCAAUAGGGUAAUCCUUUAACAGAUGGUAUACACUUACACUGUCUUACAAUGGGCAUUAUGGGUAAAACCUAAUAAGUAAUUAAAGGAAAAGAAAAAGACAAAUGCCUAGUUAUGAAUAGUAUUGCACAAUUUCAUGCAGGUAUAAAAUUUUUAUUUCUUAAUAAAAUUAAAAAUUUUAAACAUUAAAGGUUAAGCAUGAUAAGUGUAGUGCCAUGAUGAUGCUAAUAAUUUUGAGUCUUCACAAGAGUUGCAUUUUUUAAUUGAUAUCUUUUAUAAUGGCAAUUCCAUGAAUAGAAACUAUUAAAUAAAAUCUGCAUGAGAUUAAAUUUUUAUCACCCCCCCUUAUUUCGGUUUCAAGGAUAUACUUUUGGUGACGGCCUAACCAUUAACGUGGAAUAUAUAAUGUUGUAUAGCAGUCAGAUUCAAAUUAUAAGUGCAGCUUUAUGGAUGAAUAUUUGUUAACUUAAUACUCAAAGUUCACAUCCUUACUUUAGAUUUAUCCACCUUUUCCCAGGUUUCGCAACUGUGCGUCAUGGAUGUUACUGGAAACAGGAUUCCUCUAAAUUCUUAAGAUGGCACUGGUAUCAAAACGGAUCAAUACAUUUAGCUACAAUCGAAUCAUAACAAGCAUAAUGGAAAAUUCGAAACUGAGGGCAGGAAUUGUGGCCGACUCAAAAUUGAAAUUAAAAACGAAGCUGAACUGAAAGCAAUGGAAAAAUAAGUCUAGCAUAUGACUGACAGUAUUUGCAUGGUUACCAGGAAUUAAGAUGACACUGCUUGUAGCGGAAAAAAAUAUAACUCAUUUGAAGUAGUGUUCAUUUGCCUCAGGAAUCUGAUGGUGGUAAUAAUUUACAUUGUUGUAUUGUGGUGUAUUUCAUAUUUGUGUUUGUAUUUAUAAAACCAUUGAUUUUAUAAAGAUUUCCAUGUAGGUUUUGUGUGUGGAUUGUAUUCUUGGUUGCUGAUCCAUUGUAAAGAUUAUUGUAUGUUUUUCUUUGGAUUUUUGUUUUGCAUGAGUUCCCUAGAUGCGAAUUCUUGUAUUAAUGACUCACAAAGAGAUUUAGUGGGUUUGAUGUCCUUGGACAAAAUUUGAGGUAGCAUUUCCUAGUUUCUUUCUGUUGAUUCUGGCUUAUACUUGCCUUUUAUGUUUAUUAACUGUUAUGCUGUGAAUUAUAAAGUUUUAAAUAUUGUAUUUCAACUCAUGUCAUAGUUAAACAACUCCUUGGCAGGUUGUCCAGUUGUGGGUGUGGGCUUUUCCGGCUCUUUAGCUAGUGUAGGUCCAAAACGUGGAGGGCACAGGUAUUGAUUUUCUGUCUGUUUAUUCGUUAGCAUAAUAGAGAAACUCCAGAUCAACUUGCUUGCACGUAAUAGUUCCGUUUGUGCACACUUCUUCACAUUCAGUUUCAAAUAACAUAUUUUACGAACUAAUUUUAAGAAUUCAUCUAGAAACAUCACGAACAUCAUGAACUAUUAUAUGCUAGUUCUACAUUUCUUUUGGUGAUUGAUUACCAAACUCUUUUUUCAAUGAUGAGCUUAUAAAGCUUGUGUAUCGAUGUCAUUAUGUUGUCAUUUUAAUAAGCAGUGAUCUUACUGCCCAUUUGGGGUAGAUAAGUAACUUGCAUCUACGAACUGUUCGUAUUGGAAGUGGAAAAUUGCGAAAACUAAUGUGUACAUGAAGGUGGUUUCAAAACUUUCUAAAGUGCCAAUUGGAGAAAAAUGUUUUUCGAUUUACGGUGGAAAGGCAUUGACUUUACGCCUUGAGUAUGCCUGAUAUGAAUUUUAUAUUUAUUUCCUAGAUGCUUUUCGCUGAUUGUCACUUAACAUUACAAGGUUUAUUUUAUGAAAUAUGCCAACAUUUUUCAUAUGCGGUCAGGAUGAGCGGGAGCUUGUUCCCUGAAUUUGUGUCUAUUUAUCGUUAAGUAGCUCUACUGCAAUCGGCCAAAAGCUGCCAACCUUCUACAUUUUGUGCAUCUUACUUCUAGAAAAAUUUUGGAGACCUGUGUAGCUAAGUGAUUUGUUCUUGUUUGGAAUGUCUACUCUUUGUCAGGGAUGGCAGGGACAGAAAUGGAUUUGUGGACUUUUCCAUACAUCAUAGUAAUAUCUAUCGAAAAAUAGUGAGAUUUUCUAUGGAUAUGUGAUGUUUUAUUGGACUAUAAAGGUCCUUGACGGAUGAAAUGAGGAUUCAUCACAGUCAACUUCUAUCGUUCUAAAUUACUCAAUUUGGUAGAAUGUGCCCUUGUGAUUACUUUAAUGGUGAUGUCCAUUUGAUGCUGUGCUCCCAAUCCUAUUCUUUAUUUUAGGACCUGAAUUCUCUUUUCUGCUUCAUCAUAGAGUAGAUUUCCGAAUUCAUGCUUAUAUCUUUGUUUUCGGAUUAUUUUCUAGUUUUUUCGAUUCAAUCUCGUCUACGUAAUUACAUUACAUGGAAUAUUUAGUGUUUUAGUAUCUGCUGCUUAAAAAAUAGGAUUACAUGAAUUUACUUUCCACUUCAUUGUCAGGACCAGAAAACAUCCGGUCAAACACGACCGUCUACUUUUCUUUUAUCCAUGAAUUCGAGUUAUUACAUUCUGUUUGCAGGUUUUUCUUAUCAACAAGGACAUCCGGUCGUCUGUGGGCAUCAAAUGUUACCUUAUGUAAGGUACUUAAUUCGUCAUCCAAACUGUCUUUCACUUUCUUUUCCUGGAAACCUUGCAAAGUUUCUGAUAUUGAUUAAUUCAUAUAGGGUCUGCGAAGUCGCGAAGAAGAAGACACGAUUUCUAGCAAAUUUUUACUGAAGGUACAAGUUACUCAAACGUACCUAUUAUUUUUUGGUAUUUAAAAAUAUUUAUUUAAAUAAAUUUCCUACCUGCCUAUUUUUUGAUCUUUGCAAGAAUUUGUAAUACCACAAGUGUUCUAAAAUUUACUCAUUUUUUGCAUUAUCACUUUUCUGACUUUUCGUGAUUUUGGAUUUGGAAAAUAAGCUUGUAAGCCAACGGGUGGUUUAUUGUUUAUAUCAUCUAAAGAGGGUAUUUUAGUUUUAUUAUCAAAUUGGUCUGGUUGUGACUUUUACCAUUUAAUUAUUUAGUUCUGAUGGCUCUAAUUUUUACCCAGAAUAGAUAAAGUUCCUGAGCUGGUGCAUACAACUGUAGUUCCUCUUCAAGUUUCUCUUGCUUGUUCAAUGCUUCAUUCACAGCUAUCAACUUCGCUAUUCCUGGAGAGAGAAGUGGGGAUGGUUUGGGUGAUUUUGUAGCUGAAUCCCAACCCAACAUUAUUACGCCGAAAAGUCCGACCUUUAACAAAAAUAAGAAUUGAAGGUAGACUUGAACCAGAAAAUUAAUGUGUCCGAACUCAACCCAUGCUACAGGCAUAUGCAGCAUUUCUUGCACUACAUUCUCAAUCCCUAUAGAAUUCUUUAGAUUUAUCUUAUUAUUACAAUUAGGUAGUCAUAUUUGCCAAACAAAGAUAAAGCAUUCCAAUUUGAGGGAAGAGAUUUUGUACACAGAAUACUGACACUCUAUGCUUCUACUUCCUACUCACUCUUGUCCUUCCAGUCUGAGGUGAUUCUACUGUGUGUUUGUCAAUUUUUCUUCUCUUUGAAGGUCCGUGCCAUGGUUUAAAAGUUAACCACUUUUCAAUCGACAGUUCAACUGAUGGCUUUAGUUAGUGUUGAUUUCUCUGGGAAGCCUCUGGAGGCACGAUAAUGAACACUAUGGAACAUUUUCAUAUUCGUUUACAAAACAUUUCAUGUUCAAAUCAUACAUUGUAAAGUUUUAAGUCAUGCCCAAAGUUGCAUCUUUAACAUGAUAUUUUAGAUAUUCGUUCUCUUUUCUUGUUUUCAAAAAAUUGGAUAUGCUUUUUUUUUCCUUUUGAUUAUUUCAUAGCAUUUCAAAUGGUUUCUCUCCUCUUGUUUAACAUAAUAUUGGUUUGAACUUUCUUCCUCGUGUUCUUAUCAUAAUACUUCUUUUUGUGCCUAUUAUGUCUAAGGCUAUUGCAGAUGCAUGCCAAGUUUGUGGUACUUCUGACAAGGAACUAACUGAAACGGAAGAUUCACAUGAAUUGGAAAAGCUGUUUGACGAGGAUCAAGAGUUACAGCAGCUUAUAAAUGGGGAAAUAUGCAUGAAAGCAUAUUCAUUUGGUAAUUAUUCAAAGAUUCCAAUGAGUUAUGUCUACAUGAGAAUAGUUAAGUUUUCCGUUUUGGAGAUAGAUCUUCUUAUUCAGCCGCAUGAACUUGCAGAUACUUGUACGUACAGUUCAGAUCAAAAGAUUAUACUUUCAGGAUCAUUUAAUCCAUUACAUGAUGGACACCUAAAGCUUUUGGAAGUGGCAUCAAGGUUAACAAUUAAUUUUAUGCUUCCGCAGAUAGAUGCAUGCAAGUUAAUUGGAGAUCCUUAGUAUUUGUCUCGAUCAUUUCAGUUGUAAAGAAAAAAGCUGGAUCUUUUUCAGGAUUUUCUUCAAAGACAAAAUUCAUCUGCCAUAUGGAUGAGACUCUAUCUUGAUGAUGACCAAUUAUUAUUGUGACAUCAAAAAAUUUAGCUACAUAUAGACACCUGUUUAUGAUUCUAUCAUGAAGUCAUCUCUUCUUACCUAAUUAACAAUGUGAGAACAUGCAUGAUUAUGAAAUAAUAAACUUGUUAUAUCUCUUUUAUAUCAGCUUUUUAACAUUCUAACUAUUUUUUAUUUUCUGUAGUAUGCUUUGCAAUAGGGUUCCGUGCUUUGAGAUAUCAGUUGUAAAUGCGGAUAAACCACCAUUAUCAAUAGUUCAGAUCAAAGAGCGAGUGAAUCAAUUUAAGAAAGCUGGUGUGUUCUUUUCUUUCGCUACUUGUUUAGUGCAACAUAUUUAGUUUUAAUUUGAAUGAUUGAUAAUGAUUAAUAUUUUAUAGGAUUUUUUACAUUCUGUGUAUUUUGUUUAGAUUUACGUCUAGUAUUCUCACUUCUAUUUAAAAGACCAGAUCCAAUGUGAGAUACAUUCUUCAUAAGAAAUGUUGGCCCAGGCAUGAUCAUUGGCACUAAAACUAAUAUAAUGAAACGAAAAACAUAAAUCGAUAUGAUAAUUUAAAAAUACUAAAUAUUAAAUAUUAUGGAAAAAUUAAGACUGUGUAACAGAAACCAAUAAAGGUUUAAAAUUCAGGUCAAUGAUUGUUCUCUUAUAACUCAUAACCAUGAAAUGUAAGAGCAGGCGAUCGUCAAAAAAGUAUCGGUAACGCAUGAGCAGACAACCUUGCUUAAAUACCAUGUAGAAACGUCAGCUGUCAGAUUACAAACUUCACCAUUUAUGAAUUAAAUAGUAAAUAAUAGGGAAUAAUUAAUACUGUGUUGCCAUAAACCAUCAAAGUUUAAAAUCCAGGUCAAUGAUUGUUCUUUUAUAACUCAUAACCCCGAAAAUGUAAAAGAAGACAAUUGAUGAAAGUAGUAUCAGUAAAGCGUUGGCAAACUAUCUUGAUUAAUAACAUGUACAAAAGUCAGCUGUCAGGUUACAAACUUCAUUAUUCAUGAACUAUUUCUGUUUUCGCAUAGUACAUUCUUUAAGAUGCUCAAUGAUUGGAUUACUGACUUCCCAUGUUUCGCAUUGAUAAUAUUAUAUAAAUUGCAUGCCAAGUUUUAGAUUACUCAUUUUAUCACAUCUACAUUUCUAUUUUUUUCACAAAUAUGUUCAAGGCAUUGCCUAAAUGAUGCAUUGCCCCAGGCUUCUAGGUUCACCAGUUGAGAACCUGCUUGGGUGCUCGCCAAAGUUGCCUUACCUCUGUUCUCCAACUCAUAUUGUUGUCAUCGUAGCUGCAAAAAACUAUUUGCUCUGUUCCAUGGCACAUGCUGUUUAACUGCAGUUGAAUGGACGCCAUGUAAGCACAAUCUAGUGGUGAUUUAAACCGUUAAGAUGAUAUUUAUUGCAUAUAUUAAUAUUUUAUAAAAAAUUAUUUAUUAAAUGGAGUUAAUUGUUUUAAAAAAUCGUGUUUACUUAUUGUUCUGAUUUAUAUUAGUUACUUUAAUAUUUAGAUAUUCCACGCGUAAAAUGUUGCUUUAUUUUAAGAAAACGGAAUCUAUUCAUAUAGCUUAAAGGAACAAUGACUGUCACUCAUUCAAAUUAUUUAUUUUAGAUUUUUGUAUGGUAUCAAUGCUCUUUGACACCCAAAGAUAUUCUUUUAUAGCCAAAGAGAAAAUACCUAGUUCACUGACUGUUAUUGAUUGUUUCUUCUACAGUUUAACAAUAAAUUAGAGGUUCUUGCCUUCUUGGGUUCAUAAGUUUACUGUCUGGAGAAUUCAACAGUUUGAUUUGUAUAUGUGUAAACUAUGCGAUAAUUAAGUAAUUUUCGUAGUACCAUGGUGAUUCGUUUCUCUACGCAGGGAAGACAGUGAUUCUAACAAAUCAGCCGUAUUUCUACAAAAAGGCUGAGUUGUUUCCUGGUAGUGCAUUUGUUAUUGGUGCAGACACUGCCGCACGGCUUGUUCAUGUAAGAAAUCUGAACUUGCUGUGUGUGUUGUUCAGACAAUACCACUAGAGGCAUGUAUGCUCGUUUUUGUCUAUACUUCAUGGGAUUGAUAAUUAUCAUUUUGCUAUAUAUAUAAUGAUUUUCAACCCUUCAUGUUUUUCUUUCUUUGUUAGACCCAUUAUAUAUAAAAUUGUUUUGCACUAUAUGAUGAGAUGGAUUGCUUUAAAAAUAUACUACUAUGCUCGUGAGUAUGGGUAGAAAUAACAGUACGAUGUUAGCUAUUGUCAUACAUUUACUCUUGUUGUUGAUAUGAAAAUGGUUAAAACCCUUUUUGCACUUGUUGUCUCUAAAUUAUAGCCCAGAUUUCAAAUGGGUACAAAAAAUACCUUUUUAAUGGUGACGUGAACGAGGAAGUGUUCAUGACGUGGCAAUUGGGAAUAACAUGGGACUCAUCACACUUUAUUUCAAGCAUGAUUGGUAUGCUCGGACAGAGUCAUUGAUUUGAGGACUACCGUUCUACAUUCAUAAUUUUAAUGCAGCCAACAUGAUCCGUCUCUCUUUUGAGAAUGGUCGUCUAGUGGUCUUGCUCUUCUUAUUACAUAAGUUAAUGGUACGUUGAUUGCUGUGGAUGAUUCCACGAAACGGGGCAUGUUAAAAAAAUUUUCAAUAGUCAUUUGGGAUAAAAGAUGUGGGCUAUUCAUUCACUUCUUGGGUGAAGCGCAUAGAUCUCCAGUUCUAUUCUUUUUGAAUCACCGCAUUCUUGCAAAAUUUGAUUUAUGUCGCUUGAUCAGAGAACAUCACUGAACUUAAUUCACGUAUGGAAACUAAUCUUUGGUUGAAAACUUAAGAUCACUUUCUAACUUUUGUAACCUUUCUUAUCUUUUAAUUUUACCGGACCUGGUAUUUCCUAUACCAUAAAUAGAACUUUUAAUUCUUUGUCAUUUACACUUUACUGGUAUUCGUAAGAUUGCUGACUACCUGAAAGGCACUCCUAAUCAUGGAUUGCUCUUCCCAAGUGGGUCUCUUCAAUCCUUGAGUCUAUAGGCUGUUGCAGAUUUGUGUUGCUAUCCUAAUCUGAGAUGGUUUUCAUUGAUUGGUGUGGCUGAUAUGACAUUAUCUGAUUUCAUGGAAGUUCAAGAAACAAGAUUGGGUUACCAAGCUGUUAAUUGAAAUUGAAUGUAGAGCCGUGUACGAAACACGCUUUGAGGUCAUCUGAUUGUGUGGUUUACUUCUAAAAUUAGGUUUCCUUCUUAAUUGUGCUGACUUCUUUACAUGCUAACAACACAAGUGCUAUUCAGAUUGCUGAAAAUACUUGUUUCACAAGUGCACAAAGCACGUUGAAAUCAAUUAGUAUUACAUUUCGUGGCACUUUGAAAGACUCAUCUCUACUAUAUUUACCUUAUAAGGAGCAGAUUGUGUCUCUCUUCACAGAGGCUUCGAUAUCUGAUCUGCAUCAACCUCUUUCCACCGAAACAGAUGUCUUCUCGAAGCCUUUGAUAUUUGAUCAGCAUCAAUCACUCUCCUCCGAAUUCCUUCUAAAAGAGUCAGCAUCAGUUUUAGGGAGAGUUGGAAUGCGCUCCAUGUAAUAUGGGAUAGAAGGAGAUUUAAUGCUGUUAAUAAUGAGCAACUGGUUGGUUUCUGUUUUUAACCUUUACCCUAUUUAGGGAGAGUUGUGUCCACCUGUAUUCUAUUAUUGCUUGCUUCUGUAAAAUAUUAGUUCACUCUUUUGUUUAUACAAAGUCCAUAAAGAGGCUCUGAGAUCUCAUAUUGGGGCAGGACGCUAUGAUCCAUUGAUCUUAUCAUGUUUCUCUUUGUCCACUGUCAUCUUCUCACCAUUGGCACCGACUCUUUCCUCACAUUGCUAGCUGUAGUCCUGUUCAGAGCUAAGAUGGUAAUUACAAGGUCACCACAUCAGCUCAUCUUCCAUUAAGUUUGUACCUGCUUUUGAAUGUGGCAUAUUAUCCUGUUUACAUAAUAUAGAGCUGUUCUGGCUCUAUUUAGUCUCUUCAGUUAUUGAGUGAAUGCUGAGAGAAGCUGGAGCUGAGUGUCUGCUUUUCUAUUUACCGUGCAAGUCCCGUCACCGAAAUUGGGUUGACCAGAAUAUCGUUGCCUCUUUUCCUCUUCUGGUGGACUCAUCCCUCCUGUCUCAACGUUCUUCUUUUUCCAUUCAUUACAUGUGCCCUUGUGUGGUGCUGUGGGUGAGCAGAAAGCCUGACCAUAACCCAAUCCUGAGAUUGGGCUCUGCAAUCUGGCUUUCUGAUGCCAUGGGCAUUGUUUCUAUCUAUCUUUGGUCCCAAUACCACACCUUGGUUGAGAGGAGACUCAAUUUGUAGCUAGAAUACAUAUUCUCGGAGAAAUUAGACCAUUCCCUGAUGGUAGAGGUCAUGGAUGAUGCCUUGGUCAGCAGAGGAGAAGACAACAGAAAACAGAGACAGGCAUAGGUGGACAUCAAUCCACCGUGUAGGGAUAUUUUUGCCUCCCAAAUCCUGCCAUGCCCUCUUUAAUGUAACCAGUCAGGCACCUAGCUUAAUCACUACUAGGUUCUAUUUUCAGUUUUUUCUGGUUAUUUUAACUGCUCGAUUUAUUCUUUUUUUGCAUCAGUUAUGAAUGUGGAUACUACGUAAUUCGCUGCUUAUUCCUCUAACUAGAUGAGGUUGAGGGUUGUAGCAUGAAAUAAUUUUCUGUAGAUCUAUCAGUCCUUAUGUAAAUUUCUGUCCCUAUUCUCAUUCUUUGUGGAAAGCUCUCUCUUUUAGAUUCUGGGGUGAAAUCUUUUAUGAACUCAUACCUGUCUUUUUCAGCCAAAAUAUUAUGGAGAAAGCUAUCACCAGAUGAUUGAAAUCCUGAAUGGCUGCAAAAGAUUAUCUUGUACAUUCCUCGUUGGUGGUCGGAAAAUUGAUGGCGAUUUUAAGGUGUGUCAUAAUGAAGUGACCUCAAAUAUUGUCAUUUGACAUCACAGAAAAGACCUUAACAAAAUGUUUAUUUAUCAGGUUCUUGACGAUUUAACUAUUCCAGACGAACUGGUGGACAUGUUCAUCUCGAUUCCCGAGGACAGGUUCCGAUUGGAUAUAUCAUCGACAGAGAUAAGAAAAAACCAUGGAAUUUGAGUCCAUUCCUACUUCUAGCUUUGGAAUGUGCCCUUUUGAUGCGUUAUUGUAUGCAUCAUUUUAUCCUUGUUUCUCCAAUAUUUCUGCUUUCAUCUGUUGAAUGGAGUAUCCCCCGCUAGGCCUUGGUACACUUUCAUUAGCUUCACUUGAAAAUCACUAGUUGUCUUAUGGGAAGUUACACCUGUGUGACCUAAGUGCGUCACCACCUGCAGCCAUUGAACGAAGUUUAGUACACCAUAUUUUGCAUUACUUACCUUACUGUGCGAUCUUAUCUUGUGAAAAAUUCCAUCUAUUUGACAUGUACAUAUAUCAUACCAGUAAUAUUGAAAUCUUAUGAGGAAAAUAGUUAACUGUGUUCUGUAAAUAGGGAUCACCUACAGGUUUUCAUUUAUUCUUCCCAGCAAGUUAAAAUACCAUAACAUAUUGUACUGAGGAUUCCAUCUUUGAUUGACUACAUCACAGGUACUGUGUUUAUACGUCCAAAUAGUAGAUUCAUCAAUAUAUAAGUUUGUCCUAUUUUCCUAUUUGGUUUAUUCUUGAUUCCUAACUUGGCAGUUUAACGCAAAUAUGGAAUCCUAGUUAAUUUCACCACACUUUCUCUCUUUUAGUAGUGUGGUAUGGCACUUCACUAUAAGCCUACUUACAAUAUCUUUUUUGCACCUUUCAAUCUUCACUGGGUUAAUUAGUCUCUACGAAGAAGUUUUCUGGCACCAUUAAUUUCCUGUAAUCUGCUCAAUUUUUGUUUGAGUAGAGUUUACAUGUUAUAAUAGCCUUCUUUAGUUCAUACUCUAGAACUCUUUGUCGUAUUGUGGGCAAUCUUCAUUAUCCUCAAGUGUGAUAAUGAAUGGGCUAUUACAUCUAGUGCCCAAUAACUCAAGUUCAUCCAUCUUUCUCAUUGCCUACCAGUGUACAACCAUGCUCUCGUGAAUCUUACGGUACUUGGAACUAGGGAAUCUUCAGAAACAUCCUACUGUUGUUGUGUGCCUUCUCAAGAAGACUCUCUUUAGAGCUGCACGGUAAGCUAUCAGUUAAAUAAUAUAGUGGGAACUUAUUCCAUGCUUCUUCUUUAUGGUUGCCUCAUCCUCAAUGGUGCCUUCUUGUAGCUUCAUCCUCCGAUAUGGUCUCCUUGCAAUGGACCACACUAUAUCUAUGAUUUGGGUUUUCAAUUGGUCCAUCAUGAAAUUUUAUCAUGGAAAGGACUUUGAAAUGUAAAUCUUGUUAAUGAGCCAUGCUAAUAUGUGAGAAAGUAAAGCUACACCCAGUGAAAAACCAAUACUAAUACCAGAUGAAGACUUAAAAGUUGUUCAAUCACCGUAAAAUUACAUUGAGAAAAUUCUAUUAUGUUUCAGCCCAAUAUAAGCAAUGUGAGGCAAACUGAUUAGUACCUCAAAAUUUGAGGCUCGUGGCCUGAAGGGAUAAAAAUAUUGACUACAAACAUCUGAAGGCCCAACAUGACUUGAAGCCUAAUAUCCAAGCCAAUGGCCCAAAAUUAUGUAAAUAUUUUUGCCUAAAACUUGCAACCUAGGUGGCUUGAAAGAGUAAAAAAGUGGACUACAAGCAUCUAAAGACUCAAAAUGACUUUCAGUCCAAUAUCUAAAUAGUUAGGUCCGAAAUGUGUAAGAAAUUAUAGAAUUGUAAUUGUUCUAUUUUUCAGUAGCUUUGAUAUGAAGGUUUAAAAUUCAUCUAAUUUAUUGUGAUUGUUAUCAAGUCAAGAGGUGAUAAAUAGUAAUAUUGUCUUUCUCUUUGAGAUAUUUCUAUUUUCUUGUGCAAUCAAGCAAUCCAUAUUUAAAUAAGAAACAUUAGGUUGAUUCUUAUGGAUUCAAGAAUUGUGAAAAAUAAAUCCUCAUUGAUUGAGAAAUUUGGUACCUCAAGGAUUCAAGGCCUGAUUUCUUUACUUCUUCAACUUUCUCUAUGCCAAUUAGUUGUCUUUUAGAGAUGAUAAUUUGAAUUUCAAUAAAUAUAUUUUGAAAUUUAUUCAAAUGAAUUGAAAUUUAUCUAAUCUUUAAAUAGAGUUAAAACAUAGCUUAGAUAUCAAGUUCAAUCUUGCAUUUAAGGGGGAGGUAUUUAAAUUUUUAAUUGGAUAAAAGGUUUUAUUUUUUUCAUAUUUCUUGUAGCCCUAACUUAUUUUUAAAGUUGACAUGAGUGUAAAUUUUAUUUGUGUAUCCUUUAAAUUUUAUUUAUAUUUUAGUUUUUGGUAAUAAGGCAUUGACAUUUUGAACUGAAUUUGUUCAUGAUGUGUGAAAGGUUGAUUCUUUAUAUUCUAGGUUUUCUUUGGAAACUAAGUUGUUAGCCAUUCUUUUUAGUCAAUCACUAAUAUUAUAUAUAUGAAGUUUGUCAACAUUAAGAGAAAGUAAUGUAGUUAAGAGUUUUUAUAAAAUGUAUGGAUCAUUUCAAGCAAACAUCAAUACAAAUAAAGUAAGCAUGUCUUCAUAAAAUUUCAGGGCAGUAUUAAACAUUUUUUAUUGUAGAAAAUUAUCUUAAACCCUAGAGAGAUGAAUCAGAACAUUCUAAUAAAACCAUCCAUAGUAUGUUCAUGUGUACUUGUUUUUCAAAUUUUUUUACUUAUAAUUAGGCAUCUUGAAGUUUGGUAUGUACCUGUAGCUUUUUACAUCAUAUCUAAAAGUUGGUAGAGAGGAGAAUGAAUUUCAAAAAUAGCAAAGAACAAGAAAAUUUUCUACUAUGUUGUGGAGAAAAUCAAGAGAAUCCUAAUUAUAGAUAAAAUAUUGUGAAAAAAAUCAAAAUGAAAUCAAGAAAAAUAACAAUGUCUAUGAGAGAAGUUACAAAUGAUGAUGGGAAAUCUAUUACAUAAUUCUUCUCUCUUCUCCAAUAAGAUUCUUAACAUUGAAAAAGGAUCUUAGAGUGUGCCAGGAAGGCUUCUUAACGUCUUCUUUUUUCUUCCCAUCGGAGUUUUUUCACAAAGACUCGCCAUAGUAAGGGGGAAGGGUGGAACAAGCAAAGCACACUUGUAGAGCGCAGUACAGCGGAGAUGUCCAAUACUAUUUGGUAGCCUUUUCUAUUAUUUAAUUUAGUAUAAUGUCUACUAUUUCUUCUCUUCCUUUGUCAACCACUUAUUUACUAAGGGGUUGUGCCAAGUGUUAAUCCUAUCUAAAUAGCACAUCAUGGG
rnacentral:lncRNA from 1 species